UGAUCUGCCCGUCUCCGUCCCGCCCUGGUUUUUACUUCCUUACUGCACAUGGACCUGCGCGAUGAUGAUGAUGAUAAUAAGUUUCCGACGUCGCCGAACAGCCUUGCCUUUGCCUUUUUAGCCGCUUCCACAGAAUCCGAUACUUGAGAUGAUGACGAUGAUGAUGAUGAUCUGUAGCGCUAGAUGUUUUGCUACCUGUUGUUGGUUUGACGGUGGUGGUUAACGAGAGAGGCGUCUUGGAUGAUGUGGUUUGGUCCUUUUGAAAGUAUGCAAUGCAUGGUUUUUUCUGGUGAAUUUCGUUGGAGUUGCUUACUUUGUUUGUUGCCUUUGCCAAAUUAUGCAUGCAAUGCAUGGUUUCAAAUGAGUGUGCUUGCAGUUUGGAGCAAGUCUUCACCGGGAAUAAAUAAAUCAAAAUACCAGACAAAUAUUCUGAAAUGAAGGUUUUUUUUUGGUGUCACAUCAAAGGUACAGCUCGGGAGUAGCUACGUAGCUUGGUUUUCAACUAGUGGUUGGGGCGCCACCUGGGGCGCAACUUGAGAGGAAGAUACGCACAUGUUUUUCUUUUAAAAAAAAUACAUAGAGUUCUUGCCUUUGUCUAAGAAAACAUCCCAAAAAAAAUCCUCACCUUCAUCUUAAAAAAAUUAAAAAGAAAAAAUUUACCACCGCAGCCUACCAGCGAGUGCCGCUUUGCAUAACCCUUCAUAUAAAAAAUACCAGAGGUCCUUGGCUCCAUCUAAAAAACAUUUAAAAAAUAAUCCACACCUUCAUCUAAAAAAUUCUAAAAGAUUUUUCACCGCGGCCAACUAGCUUGCGCCACGUGACAUAGCUGGUUGGCCGCCCUUCACGUGUAGCUUAAUUGUUUUAAUUAGCCACCGUUUCUUCCGAACAAACGUUGACAUUUCAUUGAUUAAUUAAGUAAUAAAGUCAUACAAGGUCUUUCGGAUAUAAUCUAGACAUCCAGAGCAGUGUGCAAAACAUAAAACAUAGAAUUCUUACAAUAGUUGGCCAAAACAUGGGCCACUAAAUUGCAUUAUCGACGAACAUGCUUGAAGACCGAAGAUGUGAAAGCCAGGGCCACUUGUUUGAUAUCCAUGAGACAGUCAGAGGUGAAAGUCACAUGUGUGAAAUGUUCAUCUCUAGCAAGAAUGACCGCACGGCGAAGCGCUAAGGCUUCCGCCAUCUCUGGCUCGAAAUCUCCAAAAAUGGGCUCGGAACACGCGAGGUACACUGUCCCUCAUGAUCCAGCGCCACGGCACCCAAGCUAGCCUUGCUGAGAUUAGCAAAGUCUCACGCCACAUCUAUAGCUAUAUCUAAUCUAAUAAUAAUAAAGUCAUUAGUGCUUCUGCCCGUUCAUCCUCAAAUUAUCCUUGAAGUUGCCAAUUACCAACUAUGCCACCCAUAAGUGAGGAAAAUGAUUCACUUUUUCUUCUGAAGUCGCCAUCGGAUUCGUUUCUUAUAUCAUGAUACUCUCAUAUGCCACAAUGGCUAAAACCACAGCCUCCCAUGCUGGACACCCGGGUUCUUCAUUUUUUUAUGUGCUUUUUCUUUCUUUAGCAAGCGCCCUUCCCGCACAUGUUCAUGAGCCAGCCCAUGUGCGAGCAGUGACACCCCCCGUUGUUUUCAUUUCAUUCUUUGCCUUUUAUUUUCUCAUUUCUGUAUUUGUUUUUCUUUCUUAAAAUUAGUUCAGAAUUUUUAAAAUUUCAAACAAUGCGAGUUUUAAAACAAAUAGAAAUCAUAAAAUGUCUGUGAUUUAAAAAAAUGUUCCCAUAUUUAGCAAAAUUCAUGAUUUCUAAAAUAAUGUUCAUGAAGUAAAAAAUGCUCAUUACUUUUAAAAUUACUGUGUAUUCAAAACAUAUUAGGAAAUUGGAACAAAAUGUCCAUGAAAUUUUAGAAAAUGUUCAAAGAAAAAAUCAAACAGAUCCGCAAAUAACGAACAAAACAAACCAUCACUUACGGAGAGGUUUUUUAGGGACUUGUAGAGUCGUUUUGUUAUUUUCUUUAGUCAUUGUGUGUCGGGUAAAAAAAAAAGCUUUAUGUGUUUUGUACAGCGUGCGCUGAGCCCCAAAAAAACUGACACAACUUCAUAUGGGUUAGUUUGCCUUCAUACACAUUUAUGUUUACUCUGGUACCACGGUUUUACUGCUCUGAAAAGCACCGCGAUGCUAGGUCAUGGAAAGACACACCAUGACACUUCAGUUUUUGAAAUGAUUUUUUAAAAGCCCCUUAUCUCAGCAUGACAUGAUUCGGACGUAGUUUAUGAAAUGAUAUUUUAAAAGUACCUAUCUCUUAUUGGCUUCUUUUUAUCUCUACCACAUGUGCAUAAUUUUUUCCCCAUCCUAAUUCAUAGACAUAAGAGAGAGGGAAUCAUCGGUCAUGUAUGCAUCUUAUUCUACAUGCAGCAUGCAAGUUCAAUGAGAUGGAGGGUGCUACACUUCUUCAGGAGUCGAAUUUGUGGAAAUAUUUCAUUGGACAAUUUCGUAUGCACAAAACUCAUGCCAUCCACGCAUAAUCUACCUUGAUUGAUGAGAUUUCAAAGCCCUCUGAAUGAAAAGUGAGGGAGUACUAAGACUGAUCGUAGUGGGGAGUAUCAUAUACUAGUAUCAUGCAUAUGAUACUAGUGUUUGAUACAGCAUCCGUCCCAAAAUAAGUGUCUCUACUUUGUACUAACUCUAGUAUAAAGUUGUAUUAAGUUUGAGACACUUAUUUUGGGACGGAGGGAGUACUACAUAUGUAGUGCAUAUUAUCAUAUGUUGGUAUCGAUAGUUCAUUCAUUAUCAUGCAGACUCAUAUAGUAACACAUUAUUUAAUAUGAUACUUUAUUAUGAUAUGAUACUCAACCCUCUUUUUCUUCAUUUAACUCAUGCCACCUCAUCGAAAUUGCUUACUCCCUCCGUCUCAGUUCAUUAGGCAUCUAACGAAAAAAAUCAGAUAAUCAAGACGCGAAAUAGUACUAGUACGAGUUGCAUGCAUAUUAGUUAGACUCCGUCUAUUAAUUGGAGCGAUAAUACGCACGGAGUUAAAGGACGAACUAUUACGGACCCCCCUUGCGUGUUCUUUACUAAUUGGCCCCCUGAUUUUUAGGGGUGGGCCUGCCUUAUUAGACCAAAUUUCAACCAAUCAACAAUAAUCACCCCGUUAAACCCCCGUAACUAGCCCGUGAGUCUAGCAUCUCUCUAAUUGGAUGACCAAUGCAUGUAAUUUCUGCGGCGCCCUAUUGGGAUUUCAAGAGGUGUUCUUAUUAAUAGCACGUUUUUAGUUUAGAAGAAUGAUGUGAUUGACUUCAUCCGUGAUGCUAUUUUUUUUCUAGUCCAAUGUCUUCGCGCGUAGGUUGCGGUGCACCUUCUAAGAGCAUCUCUAGCCGACCCCGCAAAAUGCGAACCCGCAUAUUUGUUUUGCAGUUCGCGGAAAAGGGCCGGCGCGGCCGAGGAUAGACUCAGACCCCGCAAAACGGACCCGUAAAUACGCAUAUUCACAGAAUAUGCGUUUUUACGGAUCGGCUAUGCGGGGUCUGCUCAGACAGCGCCACGCUGACCCGCAAACCGAAAACCCCAAUAAGCUAAAAUGAGUUCAAAUUCUGACAAAUGAGUUCAAAUUCAAACGCUAAAACAUAGAACAUAGUUCGCGCGCGAAAUAAAACAUAGUUUUGAUAGGACAAACGCAAAAGGACUUGCAAAAGCGACGACCACGCCCGACAUCAUCUUGGUCGAUUUUCACUCCGUGCCAUCGAGUCCAUGGAGAUCAUCGGAGCCACCGAAUCCACCUCCGGCGCUUGUGCCAACGACGACAGCGAAAUCAUCGGCUGGUGCACUGAACGCAUUGGUGACAUUGGCUCCAAACACCCCACCGAAUCCACCUCCCGCACUAUAACACGCACUGGCCGACGCAGCCAUUCUCCUCUUCAAGAUUUCUCUUCUUGCCAUAUCAUGCCAUUCUUUGGUGAGGUCGUCCAUGUCAUUGCGGUUCAUUGACAUGAUCUUGUUCUCUUCGGCGAGCAACAUGGACGUGGCUUUGUUCUCAGCGGCAUGUACUCUUCUCUUCUCAAUGGCCACUUUGUGCAGCCCCUCUUCCUUGAGCAACUCCCAUUUCUCAUGCUUUCUCCCGUGCCUUCUUCUCGGCCAGUUCUUUCUUGAUCUCCAACGACUUCAAAAGCAUCAUCUCAUUUGAUUGCACCAUGGCAUCAAUCUUCUCCCUCAAACUCGCCGCUUCGUGCUCUCUCUUGGUCUUCUCCCUAGUCUUCUUGUCGCCAUCGGGCUUGUUCAAGUUCCUUGGGCCAUCAUCAUCCUCAUCUUCAUCCAUGUUUGUAAGUGAACCUCUCUUCGGUGGGGACUCUUUCUCUAUCAACGCCCACUUGUCGCAAUUCUUGAGCAACUCCCAACAAUGAUCUAGUUCGAAGAAUUUGACCUUCCGAAGCUUCCAUGUCUUUGUACCUAUGUUGGCCAAUUUUGUCCUACACAAUUUGAACAAUGCAAUGUUUCAUAUGAUGCAAUCAUUUUGAAUGAUGCAAUGUUAUUUGUACAACUUGAACAAAGGUAAAAUGAACUCACAUAAUCGGACUCCACGGUUUCACUUGGAGGUGCAUUGCGUACUUGCUCCAAGCAAGCUGCCCAACGGCUGCAAAUGGGCUCGAUCACGUCCCAACACCCUUGGUGUUGGGGAACGCAGUAAUUUCAAAAAAUUUCCUACGCACACGCAAGAUCAUGGUGAUGCAUAGCAACGAGAGGGGAGAGUGUUGUCCACGUACCCUCGUAGACCGUAAGCGGAAGCGUUAUGACAACGCGGUUGAUGUAGUCAUACAUCUUCACGAUCCGACCGAUCCAAGCACCGAACGUACGGCACCUCCGUGUUCAGCACACGUUCAGCUCGAUGACGUUCCCCGGGCUCCAAUCCAGCAAAGCGUCGGGGAUGAUUUCCGUCAGCACGACGGCGUGGUGACGGUGAUGAUGUUCUACCGGCGCAAGGCUUUGCCUAAACUCCGCGAUGAUAUGACCGAGGUGGAAUAUGGUGGAGGGGGGCACCGCACACGGCUAAGGAACAAUCCGUAGAUCAACUUGUGUCUCUUAGGGGUGCCCCCCUCCCCCGUAUAUAAAGGGGGAGAGGAGGAGGGGGCCGGCCAAGGGGAGAGGCGCGCCCUAGGGGGGGCAAUCCUACUCCAAGUAGGUUUGGCCCCCUUUCCUAUUAGGAGUAGGAGAGGGAAGGAAGAGAGGGGAUGGAAGAAGGAAAGGGGGGGCCGGCCCCCCUCCCAAUUCGGAUUGGGCUUGGGGGGGGGGGCGCCCCCUCCUUUGCUCCUUCUCCCUCCUUUCCACUAAGGCCCAAUAAGGCCCAUAUACUUACCGGGGGGUUCCGGUAACCUCCCGGAGCUCCGGUAUAGUCCCAAUCUCAUCUGGAACCUUUCCGAUAUCCAAAUAUAUCCGUCCAAUAUAUCAAUCUUUAUGUCUCAACCAUUUCGAGACUCCUCGUCAUGUCCGUGAUCACAUCCGGGACUCUGAACAAACUUCGGUACAUCAAAACUUAUAAACUCAUAAUAAAAAUGUCAUCGUAACGUUAAGCGUGCGGACCCUACGGGUUCAAGAACUAUGUAGACAUGACCUAGAACUGUUUCCGAUCAAUAACCAAUAGUGGAACCUGGAUGUUCAUAUUGGUUCCUACAUAUUCUACGAAGAUCUUUAUCGGUCAAACCGCAUAACAACAUACGUUGUUCCCUUUGUCAUCGAUAUGUUACUUGCCCGAGAUUCGAUCGUCGGUAUCCAAUACCUAGUUCAAUCUCGUUACCGGCAAGUCUCUUUACUCGUUCCGUAAUACAUCAUUUCAUAACUAACUCAUUAGUUACAAUGCUUGCAAGGCUUAAGUGACGUGUAUUACCGAGAGGGCCCAGAGAUACCUCUCCGACAAUCGGAGUGACAAAACCUAAUCUCGAAUUAUGCCAACUCAACAUGUACCUUUGGAGACACCUGUAGAGUACCUUUAUAAUCACCCAGUUAUGUUGUGACGUUUGGUAGCACACAAAGUGUUCCUCCGGUAAACGGGAGUUGCAUAAUCUCAUAGUUGUAGGAACUUUGCAUAAGUCAUGAAGAAAGCAAUAGCAACAUACUAAACGAUCAAGUGCUAGGCUAACAGAAUGGGUCAAGUCAAUCACAUCAUUCUCCUAAUGAUGUGAUCUCGUUAAUCAAAUGACAACACAUGUCUAUGGUUAGGAAACAUAACCAUAUUUGAUUAAUGAGCUAGUCAAGUAGAGGCAUACUAGUGACAUUAUGUUUGUCUAUGUAUUCACACAUGCAUCAUGUUUCCGGAUAAUACAAUUCUAGCAUGAAUGAUAAACAUUUAUCAUGAUAUGAGGAAAUAAAUAAUAACUUUAUUAUUGCCUCUAGGGCAUAUUUCCUUUAGUCUCCCACUUGCACUAGAGUCAAUAAUCUAGAUUACAUAGUAAUGAUUCUAACACCCAUGGAGUCUUGGUGCUGAUCAUGUUUUGCUCGUGAGAGAUGCUUAGUCAACGGGUCUGCAACAUUCAGAUCCGUAUGUAUCUUGCAAAUUUCUAUGUCUCCCACUUGGACUUGGUCCCGGAUGGAAUUGAAGCGUCUCUUGAUGUGCUUGGUCCUCUUGUGAAAUCUGGAUUCCUUUGCCAAGGCAAUUGCACCAGUAUUGUCACAGAAGAUCUUCAUUGGUCCCGAUGCACUAGGUAUAACACCUAGAUCGGAAAUGAACUCCUUCAUCCAGACUCCUUCAUUUGCUGCUUCCGAAGCAGCUAUGUACUCCGCUUCACAUGUAGAUCCCGCCACGACGCUUUGUUUAGAACUACACCAACUUACAGCUCCACCGUUUAAUAAAAAUACGUAUCCGGUUUGCGAUUUAGAAUCGUCCGGAUCAGUGUCAAAGCUUGCAUCGACGUAACCAUUUACGACUAGCUCUUUGUCACCUCCAUAUACGAGAAACAUAUCCUUAGUCCUUUUCAGGUAUUUCAGGAUGUUCUUGACCGCUGUCCAGUGAUCCACUCCUGGAUUACUUUGGUACCUUCCUGCCUAACUAAUAGCAAGACACACAUCAGGUCUGGUACACAACAUUGCAUACAUGAUAGAGCCUAUGGCUGAAGCAUAGGGAACUCCUUUUAUUUUCUCUCUAUCUUCUGCAGUGGUCGGGCAUUGAGUCUGACUCAAUUUUAUACCUUGUAAUACAGGCAAGAACCCUUUCUUUGCCUGAUCCAUAUUGAACCUUUUCAACACUUUAUCAAGGUACGUGCAUUGUGAAAGUCCAAUCAAGCGUCUUGAUCUAUCUUUAUAGAUCUUAAUGCCCAAUAUGUAAGCAGCUUCACCGAGGUCUUUCAUUGAAAAACUUUUAUUCAAGUAUCUUUUUAUGCUAUGCAGAAAUUCUAUACCAUUUCCAAUCAACAAUAUGUCGUCCACAUAUAAUAUUAGAAAUGCUACAGAGCUCCCACUCACUUUCUUGUAAAUACAGGCUUCUCCAAAAGUCUGUAUAAAACAUAUGCCUUGAUCACACUAUCAAAGCGUUUAUUCCAACUCCGAGAGGCUUGCACCAGACCAUAGAUUGAUCGCUGGAGCUUGCACACUUUGUUAGCUCCUUUAGGAUCGACAAAACCUUCCGGUUGCAUCAUAUACAACUCUUCUUCCAGAAAUCCAUUCAGGAAUGCAGUUUUGACAUCCAUCUGCCAAAUUUUAUAAUCAUAAAAUGCGGAAAUCGCUAACAUAAUUCGGACAGAGUUAAGCAUCGCUACGGGUGAGAAGGUCUCAUCGUAGUCAACCCCUUGAACUUGUCGAAAACCUUUCGCAACAAGUCGAGCUUUAUAGACAGUUACAUUACCGUUACCGUCAGUCUUCUUCUUAAAGAUCCAUUUAUUCUCAAUGGCUUGCCGAUCAUCGGGCAAGUCAACCAAAGUCCAUACUUUGUUCUCAUACAUGGAUCCCAUCUCAGAUUCCAUGGCUUCUAGCCAUUUUGCGGAAUCUGGGCUCAUCAUCGCUUCCUCAUAGUUCGUAGGUUCAUCAUGGUCAAGUAACAUGACUUUCAGAAUAGGAUUACUGUACCACUCUGGUGCGGAUGUUACUCUGGUAGACCUACGAGGUUCAGUAGAAACUUGAUCUGAAGUUUCAUGAUCAAUAUCAUUAACUUCCUCACUAAUUGGUGUAGGUGUCACAGGAACCGAUUUCUGUGAUGAACUACUUUCCAAUAAGGGAGCUGGUAUAGUUACCUCAUCAAGUUCUACUUUCCUCCCACUCACUUCUUUCGAGAGAAACUCCUUCUCUAGAAAGGAUCCAUUCUUAGCAACGAAUGUUUUGCCUUCGGAUCUGUGAUAGAAGGUGUACCCAAUAGUCUCUUUUGGGUAUCCUAUGAAGACACAUUUCUCCGAUUUAGGUUCGAGCUUAUCUGGUUGAAGUUUCUUCACAUAAGCAUCGCAGCCCCAAACUUUAAGAAACGAUAACUUUGGUUUCUUGCCAAACCACAGUUCAUAAGGCGUCGUCUCAACGGAUUUUGAUGGUGCCCUAUUCAACGUGAAUGCGACCGUCUCUAAAGCAUAACCCCAGAACGAUAGCGGUAAAUCGGUAAGAGACAUCAUAGAUCACACCAUAUCUAGUAAAGUACGAUUACGACGCUCGGACACACCAUUUCGUUGUGGUGUUCCGGGUGGCGUGAGUUGCGAAACUAUUCCACAUUGUUUCAAAUGUAAACCAAACUCGAAACUCAAAUAUUCUCCUCCACGAUCAGAUCGUAGAAACUUUAUUUUCUUGUUACGAUGAUUUUCCACUUCACUCUGAAAUUCUUUGAACUUUUCAAAUGUUUCAGACUUGUGUUUCAUUAAGUAGAUAUACCCAUAUCUUCUCAAAUCAUCUGUGAAGGUGAGAAAAUAACGAUAUCCGCCACGAGCUUCAAUAUUCAUCGGACCACAUACAUCUGUAUGUAUGAUUUCCAACAAAUCUGUUGCUCUCUCCAUAGUACUGGAGAACGGUGUUUUAGUCAUCUUGCCCAUGAGGCACGGUUCGCAAGUACCAAGUGAUUCAUAAUCAAGUGAUUCAUAAUCAAGUGAUUCAUAAUCAAGUGAUUCCAAAAGUCCAUCGGUAUGGAGCUUUCUUCAUGCGCUUUACACCGAUAUGACCUAAACGGCAGUGCCACAAAUAAGUUGCACUAUCAUUAUCAACUCUGCAUCUUUUGGCUUCGACAUUAUGAAUAUGUGUAUCACUACUAUCGAGAUUCAAUAAAAAUAGACCACUCUUCAAGGGUGCAUGACCAUAAAAGAUAUUACUCAUAUCAAUAGAACAACCAUUAUUCUCUGAUUUAAAUGAAUAACCGUCUCGUAUCAAACAAGAUCCAGAUAUAAUGUUCAUGCUCAACGCUGGCACCAAAUAACAAUUAUUCAGGUCUAAAACUAAUCCCGAAGGUAGAUGUAGAGGUAGCGUGCCGACCGCGAUCACAUCGACUUUGAAACCGUUUCCCACGCGCAUCGUGACCUCGUCCUUGGCCAGUGCUCGCUUAUUCCAUAGUCCCUGUUUCGAGUUGCAAAUAUUAGCAACAGAACCAGUAUCAAAUACCCAGGUGCUACUACGAGCUCUAGUAAGGUACACAUCAAUAACAUGUAUAUCACAUAUACCUUUGUUCACCUUGCCAUCCUUCUUAUCCGCCAAAUACUUGGGGCAGUUCCGCUUCCAGUGACCAGUUUGCUUGCAGUAGAAGCACUCAGUUUCAGGCUUAGGUCCAGACUUGGAUUUCUUAUCUUGAGCAGCAACUUGCUUGCUGUUCUUCUUGAAGUUCCCCUUCUUCUUCCCUUUGCCCUUUUUCUUGAAACUAGUGGUCUUGUUUACCAUCAACACUUGAUGCUCCUUCUUGAUUUCUACCUCCGUAGACUUUAGCAUUGCGAAGAGCUCGGGAAUUGUCUUGUUCAUCCCUUGCAUAUUAUAGUUCAUCACGAAGCUCUUGUAGCUUGGUGGCAGUGAUUGGAGAAUUCUGUCAAUGACGCUAUCAUCCGAAACUCCCAGUUUAAUCAAGUGAUUAUUAUACUCAGACAUUUUGAGUAUAUGCUCACUGACAGAACUAUUCUUCUCCACCUUGCAGCUGUAGAACUUAUUGGAGACUUCAUAUCUCUCAAUCCGGGCAUUUGCUUGAAAUAUCUGAUCAAGGGAAUAUUCCUAUCGGAAGAACAAUCAGAAAAUAAGGAGAUAGUCAGUUGGCACUUUUCACACAAGAACCGCUUUUCGUAUUAAGCACGGGAGUCGUAAGGAAAGACCUCUGCGUAGCUAUCAGAACGAAUUAAUGAACGAAAUAAACGAAUUCCGGUGAAACCAAGGCGAAUUUCUGAGCCAGCAGUGGGAAAAAGAUGCCAAGUAUUGAGAUGCAACAUUAUGAAUGGUGCGAUCCGAAGUCUUACUAUUUACUCAAAAUUGACUCAAAUGGUUGACUGAACUUCACAGAGGACUAAAGCCGGGAACUUAAACUAAUGGUUUUACGUCGUUGAAGACCCGGUUCUAAGCCGUAAAGCAUGGCACACUGAACUAUAGAGUAGUCAUCAGCUUUGCUCUGCCAGACGUUCACAACAUCUGGUGUUUCUCCUGCAGCAGGCCUGGCACCCAGCGGUGCUUCCAGGACGUAAUUCUUCUGUGCAGCAAUGAGGAGAAUCCUCAAGUUACGGACCCAAUCCGUGUAAUUGCUACCAUCAUCUUUCAACUUUGCUUUCUCAAGGAACGCAUUAAAAUUCAACGGAACAACAACACGAGCCAUCUAUCUACAACAAACAUAGACAAGCAAAAUACUAUCAGGUACUAAGUUCAUGAUAAAUUUUAGUUCAAUUAAUCAUAUUACUUAAGAACUCCCACUUAGAUAGACAUCUCUCUAGUCAUCUAAGUGAUCACGUGAUCCAAAUCAACUAAACCAUAACCGAUCAUUACGUGAGAUGGAGUAGUUUUCAAUGGUGAACAUCACUAUGUUGAUCAUAUCUACUAUAUGAUUCACGCUUGACCUUUCGGUCUCCGUGUUCCGAGGCCAUAUCUGCAUAUGCUAGGCUCGUCAAGUUUAACCUGAGUAUUCUGCGUGUGCAAAACUAGCUUGCACCCGUUGUAGAUGGACGUAGAGCUUAUCACACCUGAUCAUCACGUGGUGUCUGGGCACGACGAACUUUGGCAACGGUGCAUACUCAGGGAGAACACUUCUUGAUAAUUUUUUUAGUGAGAGAUCAUCUUAAAAUGCUACCGUCAAUCAAAGCAAAAUAAGAUGUAUAAAGGAUAAACAUCACAUGCAAUCAAUAUAAGUGAUAUGAUACGGCCAUCAUCAUCUUGUGCUUGUGAUCUCCAUCUCCGAAGCACCGUCGUGAUCACCAUCGUCACCGGCGCGACACCUUGAUCUCCAUCAUAGCAUCGUUGUCGUUUAUGCCAUCCAUUGCUUCUACGACUAUCGCUACCGCUUAGUGAUAAAGUAAAGCAAUUACAGGGCAUUUGCAUUUCAUACAAUAAAGAGACAACCAUAUGGCUCCUGCCAGUUGCCGAUAACUUCGGUUACAAAACAUGAUCAUCUCAUACAAUAAAAUAUAGCAUCACGUCUUGACCAUAUCACAUCACAACAUGCCCUGCAAAAACAAGUUAGACGUCCUCUACUUUGUUGUUGCAAGUUUUACGUGACUGCUACGGGCUUAGCAAGAACCGUUCUUACCUACGCAUCAAAACCACAACGAUAGUUCGUCAAGUUAAUGAUGUUUUAACCUUCACAAGGACCGGCGUAGCCACACUCGGUUCAACUAAAGUUGGAGAAACUGACACCCGCUAGCCACCUGUGUGCAAAGCACGUCGGUAGAACCAGUCUCACAUAAGCGUACGCCUAAUGUCGAUCCGGGCCGCUUCAUCCAACAAUACCGCCGAACCAAAGUAUGACAUGCUGGUAAGCAGUAUGACUUCUAUCGCCCAUAACUCACUUGUGUUCUACUCGUGCAUAUAACAUCAACGCAUAAAACCUGGCUCUGAUGCCACUGUUGGGGAACACAGUAAUUUCAAAAAAAUUCCUACACACACGCAAGAUCAUGGUGAUGCAUAGAAACGAGAGGGGAGAGUGUUGUCCACGUACCCUCGUAGUCCGUAAGUGGAAGCGUUAUGACAACGCGGUUGAUGUAGUCGUACGUCUUCACGAUCCGACCAAUCCAAGCACCGAACGUACGGCACCUCCGUGUUCAGCACAUGUUCAGCUCGAUGACGUUCCCCGGGCUCCAAUCCAGCAAAGCGUCCGGGAUGAGUUCCGUCAGCACGACGGCGUGGUGACGGUGAUGAUUUUCUACCGGCGCAGGGCUUCGCCUAAACUCCGCGAUGAUAUGACCGAGGUGGAAUAUGGUGGAGGGGGCACCGCACACGACUAAGGAACAAUCCGUAGAUCAACUUGUGUCUCUUAGGGGUGCCCCCUCCCCCGUAUAUAAAGGGGGAGAGGAGGAGGGGGCCGGCCAAGGGGAGAGGCGCGCCCUAGGGGGGGCAAUCCUACUCCAAGUAGGUUUGGCCCCCCUUUCCUAUUAGGAGUAGGAGAGGGAAGGAAGAGAGGGGAGGGAAGAAGGGAAGGGGGGCCGCCCCCCUCCCAAUUCGGAUUGGGCUUGGGGGGGGGGCGCCCCCUCCUUUGCUCCUUCUCCCUCCUUUCCACUAAGGCCCAAUAAGGCCCAUAUACUUACCGGGGGGUUCCGGUAACCUCCCGGAGCUCCGGUAUAGUCCCAAUCUCAUCCGGAACCUUUCUGGUAUCCAAAUAUAUCCGUCCAAUAUAUCAAUCUUUAUGUCUUGACCAUUUAGAGACUCCUCGUCAUGUCCGUGAUCACAUCCGGGACUCCGAACAAACUUCGGUACAUCAAAACUUAUAAACUCAUAAUAAAACUGUCAUCGUAACGUUAAGCGUGCGGACCCUACGGGUUCGAGAACUAUGUAGACAUGACUUAGAACUGUUUCCGAUCAAUAACCAAUAGUGGAACCUGGAUGUUCAUAUUGGUACCUACAUAUUCUACGAAGAUCUUUAUCGGUCAAACCGCAUAACAACAUACGUUGUUCCCUUUGUCAUCGAUAUAUUACUUGCCCGAGAUUCGAUCGUCGGUAUCCAAUACCUAGUUCAAUCUCGUUACCGGCAAGUCUCUUUACUCGUCCCGCAAUACAUCAUUUCAUAACUAACUCAUUAGUUACAAUGCUUGCAAGGCUUAAGUGACGUGUAUUACCGAGAGGGCCCAGAGAUACCUCUCCGACAAUCAGAGUGACAAAACCUAAUCUCGAAUUAUGCCAACUCAACAUGUACCUUUGGAGACACCUGUAGAGUACCUUUAUAAUCACCCAGUUACGUUAUGACGUUUGGUAGCACACAAAGUGUUCCUCCGGUAAACGAGAGUUGCAUAAUCUCAUAGUUGUAGGAACUUUGUAUAAGUCAUGAAGAAAGCAAUAGCAACAUACUAAACGAUCAAGUGCUAGGCUAACAGAAUUGGUCAAGUCAAUCACAUCAUUCUCCUAAUGAUGUGAUCUCGUUAAUCAAAUGACAACACAUGUCUAUGGUUAGGAAACAUAACCAUCUUUGAUUAAUGAGCUAGUCAAGUAGAGACAUACUAGUGACAUUAUGUUUGUCUAUGUAUUCACACAUGCAUCAUGUUUCCGGAUAAUACAAUUCUAGCAUGAAUGAUAAACAUUUACCAUGAUAUGAGGAAAUAAAUAAUAACUUUAUUAUUGCCUCUAGGGCAUAUUUCCUUCACUUGGAGAGACCGAAAGGUGCGUGGAGUCCUAUUGGGAUACUUUGCCAUCAUGCGGAAGUAUUAAUCUUCGAUCCUUUGCCAAUACCUCUUGGCGGUUUGAGAAGUACCCGUGCAUGCAUCAAGAGAUACCACACUCCAUGCCUUGAUCAAGAUUUGGUCUUCCAAGAUCGUGCAGUUCUUUGAUCUUUGGCCUUUUCCACUCUUUACUUGCGAUUUCUCAUACGCCAACUCAUCAAUCUCCUCCAAUUCAUCUUCACCUCCAUGAUCAUCCACGCCGCCCUCUGUUUCAUUGUACUCAAAUGCGGCGAAUAGGGCCUCAUCGAUGUCAACGGCGUUGGUGUCCAACAAGUUCACGAACUCGGCGUUCGAACCACCGCCAUAGCGAACGACAACAAGUCACGAACUAAUCGCGAAAGCAAAGAUUAUUUCCAUGACCGAAGAGUAAACGGAUGACCGAGCCAUACCUUGCGCCCAUUUCGUCGAACACAUCGGCUACGGUGGGAGCAGCACCGUUGAGCGGGAUCGCAGGGGAACCCAUUUCAUCGCCGGAGGGAGUGGAUGAAGUAGCUGACCGCCUUGUAGCCAGAAUCUUCCUCCGCUUUGCACCCGGGACCUUGGCGACCUUUGCCGCCGCUGGCCGGGAUCGCGCAGCCGCGUUGGCGCCCGGAGUGCGGGCCCUGCCGACGGGGGCAGCCGGGUUCCCGCCCUGCACGAGCACGCUGCCCUGACGCUUGCGGGCAGCCGCGGUGGCGCCUUGGGCGACGGCGGGGCCAACAUGGCCGGCGACGAGAUCUGCCCAAGGGGAUUGAUCGUGCGCGACCUUGGCGGAGACAGGGGAUGGCAAGGUGUCAUCCAUGACGGCAACUGAACGCCGGGAAGGAUGAACGGGAGCGGGAGGUGGCGGGAGCAAUGGUGGUCGGGGGUGGGAGGAGCGGGAAUGGCCGCUCAGAAAUGUCCCUCCCGCCAAAUCCCGCUGCAGAUAGGGGUCGAGCUCGGGUUGUGCUCCCGCCCCGUGAAACUAGAGGUCGGAGGAGAUCUUUUGCCGCGUCCCGCAAAAAAUUUUCCGGGUCGGACGCGGAUGCGGUGUCUGUUCGAGCGGGAUUUUCCGCGCUUGCCCGUAUUUUGGCGGUUAUUUUGCGGGUCAGAGCCUUUUGCGGGGUCUGCUAGAGUUGCUCUAAGAUGGCUAAUGCUCCUAGACGGAGGGAGUAUAUGACAUGCAUGAUACUCUUUAUAAUCACGGGCAACAUUACAAGAGAAACAUCAGAGUCAGCACUAAAUUGUGUGUCAACAAACACAUUAAAUCCUCAUAAAUCGAUCCAAGUAGCCACGAUCGAGUAUGAUACACAUGCAUGCACAAGUCGGAGGAGACGUACGUGGAGGCCGCGCAUCCACGCAAACCAACUACUCCCGUCUGUUUUGCUGCAUAUAAAAUUCAUUCAGGUGCCUGCCUGAUGAGUGAUCAGCUCAACUUUCCUUUCCAUCUCUGCUUCAUUCGUUGUGCGGCCGCGCGAGAGUUUGCUAACGAAAUGGUGUGUCAUAGAAAUAGUCCCAUGAACGGCAGGCGUGGAGGACUCAUGGCAGGUGCUCGUUUUGUGCAGGUGCAGGGGCCGAGCCCGGUGGUGAAGCUGGGGGCGUGGGGCAGCGACGGCGGGGCCGCCCACGACAUCGACGUCACCGCGGCGCCGCCGCACCGGCUGGAGAGCAUCGCCCUCCGCUGGGGCAAGGUCAUCGACUCCCUCGCCUUCACCUACACCGACAAGGACGGGCAGCCGCACGCCGCCGGGCCCUGGGGCGGCGCCGGAGGCGUGUCGGAAGACCUGGUGGGCCUUUUCUUUCAAAUUCAAAUUCAAAUUUAAUUGUUUAUUUAUCUCUUAUUCCAAAACUCCUCAGAAUAUUGUUUUUUGCGGAAUUCCCGGAAAAUCCUUGAUAUAUAUACUUGUAUGCACAGAUCACCCUGGCCCCCUCGGAGUACGUGACGGAGGUCGGCUGGACCGUGGGCCCGUUCAAGCUCAAGGAGAUAAAGGCCUGCGUCACCUCGCUCAAGUUCGUGACCAACCUGGGGACCACCUACGGCCCCUUCGGCAACGGGGACGGCACGCACCACAGCCUGCCCGUGCUCGACGCCGGCAGCGUCGUCGGCAUGUUCUGCCGCGCCGACGACUACCUCCAUGCCAUCGGCUUCUACGUCCGACCCUUGGCCAUCGUCAAAUCCACCACGGCCUCGCCAGCCAAGCCUCAAGGGGAGAGUUUGCCUGCCCUAGCCACCGAGGGAUAGGAAAGGGAAAUAUAAAAUAAAAGGCCAUUUGAAUGUUUGCGAUGUCGAGUAUAUGAAUUACAUUACAUGCACAUGAUGUGCAUGUAUCUAUCUCUGCGCUAGCUCCUCAUGUCAUUACACUAUCACUUCCUGUGUAAAGAAAUGUAAGAUCCUAUGGAAUCACAGAGAGAUAUUUUGCUGUUGAUUGCUGCAAUUAUACCGGAUCAUAGCCAACUGUUUUGAUGCAAAAUAAUAAUAAUAAAAUAUCUAUCAUUGUCACGGCUCUUAAUUCAUACACCAUGAGAAGUUUCAACCACACCAACUAAUACCCAGGGAAAUUAGAUAUACUCAACUCAGAGCAGGCAGCCUGGCUGUCUAAGCAAUAAGCAUCUUCUUCUUUCUUUUUUUGUGAGAGAAAUUUUCGAUCUAUCCAUAAUCAAUCAUGCCCAGUACAACAAAUACCAGAGAUAAUACAAAUUACAAUCAGGUCCAUGGACCACCUAGCGAUGGCUACAAACAGUGACCUAAUAAAUUUUCAAGCAUAAGAGAAUUGAUAGACCCUCCUCCUGCACCCAGAGCAGGCCUGUCCAAGCAGUAAGCAUCUUUUCGCCUCUGCUGCCGCCUUUUCGCGUCGCUCUUCCGCGUAGAAAUUAUCCCAUGCACGGCGACUUCUUCCACAAAUCUCGGUCACUGUCCAAGCCGGCAUCUCCGUGUCAAUCCAAGGAUAGUACAUGCACAGAGGUGGGGGAGACCACAACAAGAACAAGAAUGUUAAUACAUAAUCAACCAAAAACCAAUAGUAUGUCAAUUCAUGAUGGUUAAAGCACAUCGGAGGCUUGUCAUACGGUGAACUAGCUAUGGGUGGAUCUUCCUCAUAAUUGACGCACAUGAAAAACUUCACGCCCAACCAUUGUUAAAAAUCCGUCACCUUGCAAAUAUCGCCACACCAACACCGCAGGAUUGCCAUCCCCGGAGGGCAAACUCGCAUUCUUCAUUUUCCUCGGCCUAAUGCUUUGAUCCGAGCAAGGCGAACUCAUACCGGCUAAAUAAAGCGUGACACACUUAGCGCAGUGGCGAUUUCAAGGGUGGCUGGACGAUGAAUGAAGAGAGGUUCAAUGCCUCGUUUUAUAGGCUAAGAUGACAAAUUUGAUGGCGAAAAAAUAGGGCGAAUGGAAGAAAUUUUAGGCGGGAAAUACGCGUGAUCCAAAACACUGCAAUCGGUGUCGGCAGAAACGUCAAACACCACCAACCGUCAGCUCCAGCAGUGUCGCGCCGCGCGCCGCAACAACAGCAUUGCCGCCUCGUCUGGUGGCGGCAGGGCCACCGACAGGGCUUUGUUCCGUCGCGGUGCGGGAAUCCUGUGGUCUGCAGCCUGCUGCCUGGCCGCCUGGCGGCGGGGGCUGCUGCCUCACACUGUGGUGGCAGGUGCCACGUGUCAGCUGGCGUGCCUGCCGCCAUGGCCCUGUGGGUCCUUUUUGCUAAUAUGUUUCAGAGGUGAUCUUUUAUUGUCAAUUUCGUUGGCCAGGUGGUCCUUUUGGACAAAAAUUCUAGUUUUUUUUCCUUCAAAAAUCACCCAGGACUAUAUUAAAGAACAACAGUAAUACAAGACAACUCACAGAACAAGAAAAUUACAAUCGGGCCCCUACGAAGCCCGACCAACCACAACACCACCAUGAAGUGAAGGCGCACCGUCAUUGCUGCUCCCUCAGAGCCUGCCCGACCUUGAAUCUGGAGACGGAUUUACCGGAGACGGGAAGUCUUCGAAGUUGCGGUCCACAUAGACCAGCACGUCGGUGAGGAAGUAGAUCAAACCACCGCCAUCGAAAAACAUCAGAGUCGGCACUAAAUUCUGUGUCCAACAAACAAAUUAAAUCCUCAUAAUUCCAAGUAGCCACGAUCGAGUAGGAGGAGACGUGGAGGCUGCGCAUCCACCCAAACCAACUACUCUCCUCUCGUGUGUUUUUGCUGCAUAUAAAAUUCAUUCAAGUGCCUGCCUGAUCAACUUUCAUUUCCACCGGUGCUUCAUUCGUUGUGCGGCCGCGCGAGAGUUCGUCAACGAAAUGGUCUGCCCAAGUCCUAGCAUGCAUGAUGUGCUGUGCCAUCUUCUUCACAGGAGGAGGGCUCAUGGCGGCUGGUUGUGUCUGUGUGCGCGUGCAGGUGCAGAGCCCGAGCCCGGUGGUGAAGCUGGGGGCAUGGGGCAGUGACGCCGGGGCCGCCCACGACAUCGACGUCAGGGCUGCGGCGCCGCACCGGCUGGAGAGCAUCGUCGUCCGCAGGGGCAAGGUCAUCGACUCCGUCGCCUUCACCUACACCGACGAGGGCGGGCAGCUGCACACCGCCGGGCCCUGGGGCGGCACCGGAGGCGUAGAGGAAGACACGGUCAGCUCUCUUCUUUCAAAUUCAAAUUCAAAUUCAAUUGUUUAUCUAUCUAUCUAUCUCUUAUUCCAAAAUUCGCAGAUCACCCUUGGGCCCACGGAGUACGUAACCCAAGUCGCCUGGUCGGUGGGCCCGUUCGAGUUCAAGGAGAUCGAUGACUGCGUCACCUCACUCAAGUUUGUGACCAACCAGGGGGCCACCUAUGGCCCCUUCGGCCGAGGGGACGGCGCGCACCACAGCCUGCCGGUGCUCGACGGUGGCAGCCUCGUCGGCAUGUUCUGCCGCGCUGGAGACUUCCUCCACGCCAUCGGCUUCUACGUCCGACCCUUGGCCAUCGUCGAACCGACAGCCUCGCCGGCCAAGCCUGAGGGGGAGAGUUUGCUUGCCGUAGCCAUCGAGGGAUAGGAGAGGGAAAGAUAAAAUAAAAGGUCGUUUGAACAUUUGUGAUAUCGAGUCUCUGAGUUACUACAUUACAUGCACAACAUGUAUCUAUCUAUGCGCUAGCUCCUCAUGUCAUCGUACUAUUACUUGUUUAGCCCAAUCAAAUUUUGUCACAUAUCAAGUUCGAGAAAUAAAAAAAAGGCUUUAUGUUCAAUAUUUUGGAUACUGGUCAUGAAAACAAACCGAAUUCUAAAAUCAAAUGAAUUUCACCGUCUUAUGUGUGUGCUUGAACACGAUUUUUUCCUACUCAUAUAUGCUUAGUUGAAAGAAACCAAGCUCUAAGUUGCCUUGCCACCAGCCAAUUGUUUUAAUGCGAAGUAAUAAAAACAAAUCUGUCAUUGUCUCGGCUCUUGUUUCAUACUACUAGUUCAUACACCAUGAGAAAGUUCAACCACACCAACCAAUGCCCAACCAAACUAGAUUCAACUCAGAGCAGGCAGCCUGCCUGUCUAAGCAAUAAGCAUCUUCCCAUUUCUUUUUACCGAGAGAAAUUUUUGAUCUAUUCAUAAUCAAUGAUACCAAUACAAUAAACACCAAAGAUAAUAAAGAUUACAAUCAGGUUCAUUGACCACCUAGUAAUGAUUACAAGCACUAGAGCGGGCCGAAGGCGAGGCGCGCCAUCAGCAUCGGCCGGGCAAACCUUGUUGUGCUAGACAGUCGGAAAGUUGUGGUGCUAUGUCCACAAAGGACCAGCGCAACCAUCAGCGAUGAAGAGAGUCGUAGAUCGGAAGGAUCGAACGUGCAACCAUACAGACGAAAACUGGAUCCAAAUAGAUCCAUCGAAGACAAGCACCGACCAAAUCUCGUGAGAUCCGAUGGAGACACCUCUACACGCUCUUCGACGACACUAGACGAACCAUCAGGACGGGGAUUGGACAUGGGACACAUUCCUACUGAUGGACAUUCCACGGUCUAGUCCCAACCAAGACACCGAGCCUAUUAAAAAAGAGAGCGGGGUCCAUCCCGUCAUCGGCGGGGGGCCAAGAUCCUCCGCACCACGGCGGCCCAAAGGCCAUCAGAGGCGCCGGCGGGAGGAGGAAGAAGACUUUUCUUGGGGAGGAGGAAAGACAUGUGCUGUUGUUAACACCUACUACAAUUAUGUGAAACAAGAUCACACGCAACUAGCAUACAUAGCCUAAAAACCCAUAAUAAACUCGUCAUCUACUACUUUGAUCUAAGCUCCCGAACAGAAUUAAUCGACCAAAUCAAAGUGAAUAUUGGGCAACAGAACUGGCAUGGCAAUGGCAUGAUGAUUUUUCAAGCAUAAGGGAAUUAAUCAAAGGCCCUGCUGCAUCAAGUUGUAGAUAACUUCACACUGCAAUCGGUCAGAACCUUGAACGAAUACAAUUUUAAGCAGCGCCCUCUGAUGCAGAGACGACCUAAAAGAUAACGUUAACUGAAAGAUUACCAGUUCUGACCUGUCGCCGUAAUUUUGGGUCGGACAUGGCCCGUUCCUGGGCCCACCCGUCUGUGAGAUGCUGCUAAACAAGAAACGAUGAUAUACCCUUACCUGCCAGGGGUUGCUGAUUGAACUUGUUGAUCAAUCAGCCUUUGUGUUUCCUGAGAAAUGCGCCCACUUUGUUAUAUUACCUGCAAAAAUAUGUACGGCUCAUCGCCCUUGCGCCAUGAGAAAGUUCAACUUACAGUGCAGAUCCAGAUUCUGCCUGUCUAAGCAAUGCAAGUAUCUUCUUAAACACGUACUACAAUUAUCUUAAACAAAGAUCACAUGCUCAAUCAGUGAUAGGACAGACAUGCAGAGAGGGGGAAAUCAAUACUCCGGUUGACUGGACUAGAGCACAUUGUUUGCUUCCCACGUUACGCUUUAUCUCGCAGCACGCAAGAGGAGUUUCCUUACCACCAGUUGCUCGAUCUGCAUGCAGCAUUGCCACCACAAAACUCGUGCGUGUUUAGCUUAUCCAGCUACCAUUGUCAACCCCUACUCCUCUGGGCUAGCUAGAAUCCAAGGAUAUCGCUUUGCUUGCAACUCAAGCCCGGUCGAUUUCCUUCCUGUCGACGAAGGUAGCAUGCAUUAUCUAUGUAUUCCCUCCGUCCGGAAAUACUUGUCAUAGAAAUGGAUACAAAUGGAUGUAUUUAAAACUAAAAUACAUCCAGAUACAUCCAUUCCUCGGACAAGUAUUUCCGGACGGAGGGAGUAUCUAUUGGAGCACUCUGAAUUGUAAAAACGGCUACACUUUGCUUCGCUGCUACUCCGUCCGUAGCUGCUAGGUCUGACCAAGUCUCUCUCUAUCUCUCUCUAUCUCGCUUUGCUGCUACUCCGGGGUGUUCAUCCUUUUUACCCGUCAAACUAACACACUGCCCAGCUGGUCUUGAUGGUUCUUGGGUUCAAGUAGCUUUAUUUUGUUGGUGUAGGUUGAUUCUCUACUUAAUUUAGCUCGCUCAGUAAUUGAAGUAACAACAAAUUGUAAGUUGGAAGACACAAAAGUGAGACAGUUUGAAAGAUAAGUGUAUGCUACAUAAAUUAUUAGCUCAAUUAAACUGAAGAUCAAGUCUUAAUUAUCACAUUAAAGAAAGGCGAAUCUGGAUGUAAAAGAGUUUGCUACUGUCAAGUGUAUGCUACCUUAAGUACCAGGCUCAUGCAUUAGUGAGCGUCAUGCAUGUUACCACAAGAAAUUUUAAAGCGUUCCACUAUAUAUCCACUGAGAUGAAUACUCCAUGGCCAAACAUUUUUUUUCUCCUAAGAUGAUGAAUGUCCCCGGCUAAUAUUAACAUGAUAUUUCUUGUGACAGUAUUGUUAUGUGUAGUAUACUUGUUAACUUGUCAAUCAAAAUGUAUGAAAUCUCCAAUCCAUUUCUUUUUCAAUGAACACCCAUUUAAUUCAUUUUUCAGAGGAAAGAAAGCUAGAAAGAUCUUUAACUUGACGAUGUGUGUCCAUGAGACCUUUCAAUAAUUGGGAGGGUAUGGUUUAGUUGCCUGAUGAAGGAUCUGAUUUUGGAUAUUUACAUCUAUUGUUAUGUGUAGUGUCGUUGUUAAAUUGUCAACCAAAAUGUAUGAGAUCUCCAAUCCAUUUUUUUCCCGAUGAACUGGCAUUAAAUUCAUUUUUCAGAGGAAAGAAAGCUAGAAAGAUCUUUAACUUGGCGAUGUGUGUCCAUGAGACCUUUCAGUAGUUGGGAAGGUAUGGUUUAGUUGCUCGAUGAAGAAUUUGAUUUUGGAUAUAUACAUCCAUUAUUCAGAUUAUGACCAUCUUUAUAGCAUGUGCCAAAACCAUUCAGCGACCAAUAGUGAUGGUCGCAAGUUGACAUGUUUCUUGUAGUGCCUUUGGCUUGUGGCAACAUCAGAAUUUCACUUUCAGUAGAAUAUGCAUACAGGAUACAACUAUCCUGAGGUCAAUGUGUGAUUUUCCCAGUACAGCCACUAUAAAAGCAUGCCAGUUGCUCGCAUGCAUGGGCACUCUGCUCACCAGUUAACCUAAUUAGGCAUCACUAAUGGGGUGUCUCACAGACAAACACCAAUCCACCAUGAAGUCCUCCAACACUAGCCCAAGCCGUCUCACGAGGAAGGUGCUCUACCUCACCCCUCCCAUCCUGCUCACUGUCUUCUUCUACCUCCACCUGGAGACCCUCACCCUCUUCUUCACCGUACAAUGCGCCAGCAGGCUCGGCAAUGGCGUCGACGACCGCCUCCGUGCGUCGGCCACCUUCCUCCCGCUCAAGGACACCCGUGAGGGCGCCGACACGUGGUUCAUCAGCACCCUGAACGACACCUCCGAGCCUCCGGGCGAGGCGAGGAACCUUCAGUUUCCGUCCGCUGCCUCCGCGGGCCGCCUCCUCUGCCUGGCGGCCCCCUCGCGCCGCGACGGCACGAAGAACGCCUACGCGCUGGCGUGGCCGGGGGCGCUACCCCGCGGCGCGGAGUUCCGGCCGGGCCUUGCUCUCCUGUCCGAGACCUUCUACGACCACUCCAACCUGUGGCACGGGCUCACGUCGCUGGUGCCGUUGGUGUCGUGGCACGCAAGGCGCGGGUGCGGUCCCGCCCCCGCGAAGUGGGCCUUCUUCCACCAUGGCGAGGUCAGGUCCGGGAUGAGUGGGUGGCUGAUGUCACUGGCCGAGGCGGCUACCGGUGCGCCGGUGGCUGCGGAGGAGUUUGGAACUGUCCCGGUGUGCUUCGAAGAGGCCGUCGUCUUCAGGAGAAACCUGGCCGGUUUGAGCACGGAGAGGCUCCUGGAGGCGUUCGACUUCAUCCGGUGCAAGGCCAGGGCCAAGUGUGGCGUCGUCGACACGUCCGGUGCCGGCAAUGAAACUACAAACCUACGCGUCACCAUUCUCUUCCGCACGGGCGGCCGGUCCUUCAAGGACGAGGCGGCUGUCGAGCGGGUGUUCCAGAAGGAGUGCACGCGCGUGGCCGGGCCAAGCUGCGUGCUCACCGUCGCGCAUUCCGACAACCUGACCUUCUGCGACCAGGUACCUAAUUUUACUGAUUCAAAACAUCACAUAUACAACCGCAUGGUUUUCUGACCUCUUGUUAAUUUGGUAUGGUGAAAACAAAGGUGAGGUUGCUGAGCAGGACGGACGUGUUCAUCUCGGCGCACGGGGCGCAGAUGACGAACCUGCUCUUCAUGGACCGGAACAGCAGCAUCAUGGAGUUCUACCCGAUGGGGUGGAGGCAGCGGGCGGCGGGCGGGCAGUUCGUGUUCCGGUGGAUGGCGAGCCGCGCGGGGAUGCGGCAUGAGGGCUCGUGGUGGGACCCUGCCGGUGACCCGUGCCCCGAUGGCAACCCGGACAUCUUCAGCUGCUACAAGAACCGGCGGAUUGGGAUGGACGAGGCCGCCUUCUCCGAGUUCGCGGCCAAGGUCUUCACCGCUAACAAGGAGCGCAAGUCGGCAAAGGCGCGACAAGGACAAGAAGCAAGAACUAAUUGUAAAUGCAGCUAGGCCAGCCCUCUCUAUUUUGGUGGUAAUUAAGAACAGGAAGAGUGGAAAUAACUAAAUGUGCACAGCUAGCCAGCCACAAAUUAAAAUUUGUUAAGAGACCAAGUCUGGUUAAUUAGAGGGGUAACUAACCAGGCGCAUGCAUGAUACUCCAAAUACAUAAAAACCUCAAGCAAUUGCAACGAUCUUCAUUCUGUAAAUUCUUCAGAUGUUUAGUUCUGGCAUAUUUUUAUAUGUAUGCACGUUUGUAUGUUAUCAUGUUAUGAGAUAUAUUCAUCCAUCCAUGCUCCACAUCUGGGCCGAAGCACUGAAUCUGCAUGCCUAAAUUGAUCUACCAAGAAUUUUAUCAAUCCACCGACGGGAAUAACAUACGAACUAACAUUAGUGUCAGACCAUAAUUAGGAUGUAACUACGUUAAUCCUUAAGUAAGAGCUAACAUUAGUGUCAGAACCAACCUAGUCACAGACAGAUCAGAUCCUAUUAGGCCUAAUAUAUGUUAUCUAACUAAUCGAUAGGCCUGAUUGCUUCUGGUUGGUUGAUAUAGUAAUAAGAUAAGAUGCCGAUCACCAUAAGUUCUUGGUAAUCACGUUCCGGCUAGUGCGAAUCGCCUCGUUUAUCCCUACAUUGUGUUUCGUUGACGAUCAAUGUAAAGUCCUAAUCAAGUUUCCAUAACUCGUUUCAUCAAUCAUGACACAAUGUAGGUGAUUUCUUUCAAAAUCUCCAAUCUCCGAAACCCUAAUGAAAAUUUGCACAUUUUACGAAUCCCCAAUCUCCGAAACCCUACACCAUUUCCCAAACUGAAAAUUCAGAGGAAGAGGGUUGGGGGAACUUACCUGAAGGCGUCACAUGGCCUCCAUUUCGUGCGGGCCACCUCUCUCGUCCGUGGCCUCGGGCUCGCCGGGCACGGCGCCGUCGAUCCCCAGCCGGGACCAGCGCAUCCUCCCCGCUAGCCUUGUGACCAUGUCGCCACGCGGUCGGCGAGUUUGACCGGGCCACGCGCAUUGAGCCAUCGAGGCACGCGCGCCCCGGCGAACAGGCCAGCCGUGCCGCCAUGGUUGCCGGCGAGCCGUCGUCGCCUCGCACGCCACAGGUGCCGGGAGAAUCGGGGCCAGAGGAAAGAAUGGGCUCCACUUGCCGGCUGGCCAGCCCAGGUUGCCUCGUGGGCCAAGGCCUGCUUUUAGAGCAGACUGUAAUUUUGGUUGUUUGUUCGACUCUCAGUGCAUUGUCUCUAUUUCAUUAGAUUGACUGUUCUACAUUCAGUAAAAGUAUAUUCUAUGUACAAAAUAAUCAUAUAUAAUGCUGUGAACGUUCUAGUGGGCUUCGAGCCAAAAUGUGUCUUUUGGGGCCUUUCUGAAUUUUAAACAGCUUUCUCCGCUUUAAAAGGUUUUUGCUAUGAUAAUGUUUUUAUGCACUUUUAGCCAGAAAAUGGCCAAAAAUAUAUGACUAACGAUGUUUAAGUUUUCUGGAUAAAAUAUACAUUUUAUUUAGUGACUUCUAGUGUGGUAUCAAUAUUGGUGUCGUUUCUUAACGAUUAUCUCGAUCCACAUUAGUAUUAUAUUAAUGUUGUAAAAUGAUGGAAAUUUUGAUAGUACAUUUUGGAAUUAUAAUCCUUGAAUUUUAAGAGCAUCCUGUUUGAAAUAUUUUCAUCAUGGGUCGAGGUCAUGUAUUUUGGUGAGUUUUUGUGGUCACACAUUUUGAUUUUCUACCCUGCUCUGCACGACCGAUAAUAUUGUGCCAUUAUGAAACAAAAAAUUUGGCGGUGCAUUUGGCUUUUAUAUUGAUAUUUUUGUAAGUCGUGAUGUAGGAAUUAUUGAUUAUUUAAGUUUUUUGGAUAAAAUAUACAUUUUAUUUAGGGAUUUGAAGUGUGUUGUCCUUAUUGGUGUCAUCUGUUAACGAUUGUCUUGAUCCAUUUCAGUAUCAUAUUAAUGCUAUAAACUGAUGUUAAUCUUGAGAAUAAUUUUGGAAAUGAUGAGUCCUAAAGCCAAAGGCCUUGGCGGUAGGAUGUGUUACCCUAUAGCCAAAGACAACGGCGGUAGAAAAAGGGUCAAAUUGUGAAUUUUUUCCAAAGUGGGGUUAGAUCGUGCUUAAGUUAUGGAAAAGGGCCAGGAUGGUGAUUUUUGCCACCUAAAUGCGUCGCGUGGCCUCCUUGUCAUGCGUGCCACCUCUCCCGCAUGCUCCUGGCCAGUGCCCUAUCGUCUGUGGCGUCAGGGAUGCCGUGCGCCACGCCGUCGAUCCUUUGUACAAGGCCGGCAUCGAUGCAUCCUUCCCGCCACCCGUGGGACCAUGGUCGUGACGUGGUCGGGAGAGUUCGACGGAGCCGCGCGCAUCUCUGCACGCGUGCCCCGGCGAACAAGCCAGCUGUGUCCUCAUGGUUUCGGCUAGCCGUCGUCGCCUCUCACGCCACUGAUCCCAGGAGAAUUGUGGGCAGAGGCGAGAAUGGGCUCGGCUUUGAUAGGCUCGCAAUCUAAGCCGGGUCUUUUUCUCCUCAUGGCCAAGGCCUGCUUUUGGACCAGAAUGAUUUUUUUAAUUUCACUACAUUUUCUCUAUUUAGAGUAUUUUGCUAUUUUAUGGACAUUGUUCCAAAUUUAGUAAAUAAUUCCCUAACUAUGUACAGAAAACAAUUAGCUCAAAAAUGUACAGAAAACAAUAAUAUAACGAUGUGAAUGUCUCUAAGCCAAAAUGUGUCUUUUAGUUUCAAAUAGUUUUCUCUGCUUUCAAAGGUUUUGACCUUUAGACAAGAAAUGCCCAAAAUUCUGUGACUAAUGAUAUUAAUUUUUUGGAUAAGGAAAAUCAGUUUUUGUAGAAUUUUUUUAACGUAGUAUGAAUAUUGGUGUCAUUUGUUAAUGAUCUAAUUUUCAGUAUUAUAUCUAUGUUGUAAAAUGAUGUUAAUCUCAAGAAUAUUUGUGGAAAUUAUGAUCCGUGAAUUUUGUGAGCAUUAUGCUUGAAAUGUUUUCAUAAUGGGUCGAGAUCGUAUAUUUUGGUGAGUUUUGGUGGUGACGAAUUUUUAUCUCCGCACCACUCUGCAUGGCCGAUAAUGUUAGGGCAGUGACAUUUUCAUGUCCACACCGCUCUGCAUGGCUCAUAGUGUUGGGCCGUAGUGAAACAAUUGUUUUUGGCAAUGCACCUAUGUCGAUGUUUCAUAAAAAAUAGUGCACUGCUUACAUAGGACUUAUUGCCCAAAACAUUUUUUAUAAAAUCAUGACCAGUUUUCAGAACAAAUCAUUUUUUCCUGAAUUUUUUUUGUAAUACUAAAAUAUACCAAUGUUGCAGAUGUCAUGUUCGAAAGAUUAUUUUGGAUCAGCUUGAUGCCAAAACGGAAGCACACCAUAUAGUUGUUCUAAGUCUAGCCUCGAGUCAAGUCCAAACAUAUCACUCACUAGUUCGGCACGGCAGUGUAUUUUUCAGUGGAAAAUCAAACAAAGACAGUGUAUUUUUCAGUAGAAAAUCAACCAGAUGACUUUUCAUCAGACCUCGGCGCACGUCCCCUCUCUCUCGCGCCGUUCAACUUGACGCGCCGUUUACCAGUCCAAAAUAUCCACCCCAUAUGAAGAUUUUUAUACGUGGACACAGUUAGUUCUUGAAAAAUCAGCCGUCCAGAAGUAAUAGAAUUUCCACGUACAUAUGCAUGGACGGUACGAGAGCCCAGCCCUUCACGGCAUACAUCAGUCCGGGCAAUACCAUUCCACGGAUGGAAUCUCGUCGUCUUCGUCUUCUUCCUCCGACGACUCCAUGAAAGUGCUAGUCUCCGGCCGCACGCGGAGCUUUCUCUCGCCUCAGGCCCCACAGGUACGCCAAUAGAGAUCAACCUCUAUAAGAAGAGACUCUCCAUGGAGUUCCAGCGGAACAAAACCAUGCUACUAGCCAUGGCGACCUCCCCUCACCUAAAGCUCGUCUUGCUCGCUAUCCUGCUAGCCUCGUUUCGGCAAGCCAUGGCGGCACCACCUCCCUCCCUCCUGGAAGAACAGGCAGGAGCCCUCCUCGCCUGGAAAGCCACCAUCCAAAGCCCUCCAGCCCAGCUCCAGUCCUGGGGAAACACCACAACACGGCCAUGCGGCUGGUACGGCAUCAAGUGCGGCCAGCAUCGAGCGAGGCGCCAAGAGGUGGUGAUCACCGAGAUCUUUCUCCGGGGGUUGCGGCUGAGAGCGAGGCUGGACGCCCUCAACUUCACGGUGUUGCAUACUCUCACGAGUAUCCGGCUCCCCUUCAACCAGAUAAGGGGCCCCUUUCCACCCGCUUUAGCAUCAUCCCUGCCAAACCUGCGGCACCUACUGCUCCAGGGAAAUAAAAUCUCCGGUGAAAUACCAUGGCAAAUAAAACACCUCGAGAGUCUAGUGGGGUUGGUUUUGUCAGAAAACCACUUCUUUGGUCACAUCCCCAUUGAAGUAGGCUACCUAAAGAAGCUGAUCAGGCUAGAUUUUUCCAGCAGCAACCUCACAGGCACCAUUCCAAGGAGCCUAGGGAAUUGCACUAAACUCACUAUCUUGUACCUUGAUGGUAACCAGUUAUCCGGAUUACUUCCUCAAGAACUAGGUUACCUAGUGAGAUUACAAGAAUUAGCUCUUAGCAGCAACAAACUCAUGGGUUCCAUCCCCAAUACACUUGAGAGUUUGAUUAACCUCAUUCGGUUGUACCUAUGGGAUAACCAACUCUCCGGACAUAUUCCUCGAGAACUAGGUUCCCUUGUGAGUCUACAAAAAUUGGAACUUAGUGGAAACAAACUCAUAGGCCCCAUCCCCAAUACCUUCGGAAAUUUGACAAAGCUCACUACCUUGCACCUAUUUGAUAACCAACUCUCAGGACAUGUUCCUCGAGAACUAGGUUACAUGGUGAAUCUGGAAGAGUUGGAGCUUAGUGAAAACAAACUCAUGGGUUCCAUCCCUAAUACCUUUGGAAAUUUGACCAAUCUCAUUACCUUGUACUUAUCUUAUAACCAACUCUCCAUGCUUGUUCCUCGAGAACUAGGUUCCAUGGUAAAUAUAGAAUCGUUGGACCUUAGCGACAACAAACUCAUGGGAUCUAUCCCCAAUAGCUUUGGAAAUUUGACCAAGCUCAUUGUCUUAUACCUCGGUGGUAAUCAAUUCUCUGGACAUGUUCCACCAGAAAUUGGUAGCUUAAUGGAUCUCAUAGAUCUUCAAUUUUAUAGUAACAAUCUCUUCGGUGCCUUGCCACCUAACUUGUGUGUUGGUGGCAUGCUCGAGACAUUAGCUGCAUUUGACAACAAUCUCAAUGGACCUCUGCCAUCAAGUUUGGCAAGCUGCAGAAGCCUAGUUAGAGUUCGCCUUCAAAGGAAUCAAAUAGAAGGAGAUAUUUCUGAGAUGGGGCUUUAUCCAAAUCUGGUCUAUAUGGAUAUGAGCUCAAAUAAACUAUUUGGUCAAUUAUCUUAUCACUGGGGGGGAUGUCAUAACCUUACGAUGCUACGCAUCUCAAACAACAACCUUACGGGGGAAAUACCUGCAAGUAUGGGGAAACUAUCUCAACUAGGGCUACUUGAUCUUUCAUCAAACAAGCUUGAAGGAGAGCUUCCGAGUGCACUAGGCAAUCUAAGAAAAUUGUUCAACCUGAGCCUCACGGACAAUUUGCUCCAUGGAAGCAUUCCACGGGAAUUUGGAGAAAUGUCAAGUCUGGAGUUGCUGGAUUUGUCAUCAAAUAACCUAAGUGGUUCAAUAAAAGACUCAAUUGAGCAUUGUUUGAAGCUUCGUCUUUUGAAGUUAAAUCACAAUAAUUUCAAAGGAAACAUCCCUUCUGAACUAGGGUUAUUAGGCAACUUACAAGACCUAUUGGAUUUAAGUGAUAAUUCAUUUAGUGGGGCAAUACCAAGACAACUUAGUGGUCUUGUCGUGCUAGACACCCUGAAUCUUUCACACAAUGAACUUAAUAGCUCCAUCCCGUCAUCAUUUCAGAGUAUGAAAAGCUUGACAUCCAUUGAUGCAUCUUACAAUGAAUUGGAAGGGCCAGUCCCGGAGAGUAAGCUCUUCCAAGGAGCUUCAAUCCAAUUGUUCAUGCAUAAUAAAAUGUUGUGUGGUGUGGUGAAAGGAUUGCCCCCAUGUAGUAGUGCAACUCAUAGCAGAAGGGAAACGAAGGGAAACAAAAUACUUGUAUUAGUCAUCGUUCCUGCUAUGAUAUCUCUUGUUCUUGUCACGGUGACAUUGAUGUUCCGACAUGAAAGGAAGAAAACCAAGGAAACUAUGAUCGAUAAAGUAACACAAGAAAAAGUCUUCUCUAUUUGGAGUUUUGAUGGAGCAAAUGUGUUCAAACAAAUCGUUGAAGCAACAAACAAUUUUAGCGAAAUGCAUUGCGUAGGAACCGGGGGAUAUGGAUCUGUCUACAAAGCUAGACUCGCAUCAUGCGAAGUAUUUGCAGUGAAGAAGAUACACAUGGUAGAAGAUGAGUGUUGCGUGAACGAGCAGGUGUUCAAUCGUGAAAUCGAGGCAUUGGUGCAAAUUCGUCAUCGAAACAUUGUAAAACUUUUUGGGUAUUGUUCCUCUGGCCAAGGCAGGUUCCUUAUCUAUGAAUAUAUUGAGAGAGGAGACUUGGCAGAAACACCGAAGGACAACGAAAAGGCAAUUGAAUUGGAUUGGAGAAGACGGAUACAUAUUGGGUUGGAUGUGGUUCAUGCUUUGGCAUAUAUGCAUCAUGAUUGUUCGUCACCUAUAGUCCAUAGGGAUAUAACAAGCAACAAUAUUUUGCUUGAUCUAGAAUUUAGAGCUUGCAUCUCUGACUUCGGUAUGGCUAAAAUUCUCAAUAUUUAUGGCGAGAAUCUCACAAGGCUUGCUGGGACGAAAGGCUAUCUUGCCCCAGGUAAAAAAAAAAAACCUCAAUUACUAGUCUUGCAGUUUUGGCAGUAAUGUAGAUGAUGUAAUAUCUGUUUACUUUUGACAUAUAUGCUAAUUAAUUUGUAUUAAUUGCAGAGCUAGCAUAUACAGAAAACAUGACGGAGAAAUGCGAUGUAUACAACUUUGGAGUGCUUGUUUUGGAGCUAUUUAUGGGAUCUCAUCCAGGUGAUCUGCUCUCAUCCUUCUCAUUGGCCACCAAGAACAAUGUUGUGUGCCUGCAAGAUCUGCUGGACUCCAGGCUCGCGCUCCCAGAUGCUGAAACUACUAGGGAAAUAUACUGCAUUCUCAGUGUUGCAGCUCAGUGUCUGGAGUCACGUCCAUCACACAGGCCAACGGCACGACGUGCCAGUGAUGAGCUAUCUACGGUUAAAGUUCAUGAAGAUCAUGUUGAUUAUUUGCAGGCUGGCAUCACCUUUCCUAUUCUGUAGUGCCUAGCUAUGGCUAUGGAUAGUGAAUUUGUAUCAUGUGGUUUCUGCGUACCUAUUUGCUUAAAAAAUGUUUUUCUUCUGGAAGCUUAAAAAUGUUGUUUUCUAUGUAUGUGUCUGCUAUAUUUGAAACUAACAAACGUGUACUAAUGCAUCAUUAUUAACCGCUUUGAUUUAAUUUGUAACAUUGUACAAAGGGUUGAUAAUUUACUGUUGCAAAACAACGCUGAAAAUGACGGGCCAAAACAAGCUCCACUGACGGGUUUCUGUAGUGGUGCAGAAACAUACCACGUGGCCAUGCCCUUGCAAGGCUUCUUCCUCCGUAACCACUUCUACAAGCAUACUGUUAGUUUCUAACUCCUGCGUAUCACUGAACCCAAAUUGCUCUGUCAAGAAUUUCAUCCAUCCACCGAUGGGUAUAGUCAUACCCAAAAGGCCAAAAGGUCUAUUCAGCUUCUGGUAGUGCAGAACACAUUAACACCUGGAUAUCUUAACUUUUAGGUGUUCUGGACCACGAUUAGGGCAUUUCUAACCGAUCCCCUAAAAGGCCAUAAGGAGUAAAAAUUAUGUUUUACUCCCUUACGGCGCACUGUCUUACUCCAUCCCGCCGCGGCCGAGUAAAAGUGGCGCCUCUCCCUUUCGCCGCACUGUCUCCCGCAGGCGCAACCGCCACAACCCUCCACCGCCACAGAUGACCGUCGGGCCGGCCGAAAUGGAUAGCACGGCCCCUUCCCUCACCCCGCCGGACACCAGUGUUGGCUUUUCGCCGACGGAAAUCACCCACGCGGCGACGCUGGCACUGAAGAAGAGUUUGAUAUCAAGAAGACCCACCGCAUCCAAGCUCCUCCUCCAACCGCUCCAAUGGUCUCCAGGGUGGCCACUGAAGGAAAUAUGCCCUAGAGGCAAUAAUAAAGUCAUUAUUUAUUUCCUUAUAUCAUGCUAAAUGUUUAUUAUUCAUGCUAGAAUUGUAUUAACCGGAAACAUAAUACAUGUGUGAAUACAUAGACAAACAGAUUGUCACUAGUAUGCCUCUACUUGACUAGCUCGUUGAUCAAAGAUGGUUAUGUUUCCUAGCCAUAGACAUGAGUUGUCAUUUGAUUAACGGGAUCACAUCAUUAGAAGAAUGAUGUGAUUGACUUAACCCAUUCCGUUAGCUUAGCACACGAUCGUUUAGUAUUCUGCUAUUGCUUUCUUCAUGACUUAUAGAUGUUCCUAUGACUAUGAGAUUAUGCAACUCCUGUUUACCGGAGGAACACUUUGUGUGCUACCAAACGUCAUAACGUAACUGGGUGAUUAUAAAGGUGCUCUACAGGUGUCUCCGAAGGUACUUGUUGGGUUGGUGUAUUUCGAGAUUAGGAUUUGUCACUCCGAUCGUCGGAGAGGUAUCUCUGGGCCCACUCAGUAAUGCACAUCAUUAUAAGCCUUGCAAGCAUUGUAACUAAUGAGUUAGUUGCGGGAUGAUGUAUUACGGAACGAGUAAAGAGACUUGCCUGUAACGAGAUUGAACUAGGUAUUGAGAUACCGACGAUCGAAUCUCGGGCAAGUAACAUACCGAUGACAAAGGGAACAACGUAUGUUGUUAUGCGGUUUGACCGAUAAAGAUCUUCGUAGAAUAUGUGGGAGCCAAUAUGAGCAUCCAGGUUCCGCUAUUGGUUAUUGAUCGAAAACGUGUUUCGGUCAUGUCUACAUUGUUCUCGAACCCGUAGGGUCCGCACGCUUAAGGUUUCGAUGGCAGUUAUAUUAUGAGUUUAUAUGUUUUGAAGUAUCGAAGGAGUUCGGAGUCCCGGAUGAGAUAGGGGACAUGACGAGGAGUCUCGAAAUGGUCGAGACAUAAAGAUUCAUAUAUUGGAUGAUAUGGUUAGGCCAAGGGGUCAAGCCCAUGAGGCUUUAGGUCGGUGCAAAAGGAGUUUUGCGGAGGCCAGGGGGCCAAACGCCGGAGACCCUGGCGUCUGGCCCUGGGCAGACGCCGAGGCCCAUGGCGUCUGGGCCAGACGCCAAGGAUUGUGGCGUUUGCUCCUAGAGUCCGAGUUGGACUCUUGCCUUUCGGGAAAAACCGACUUUGAGGAGGCUUUUGCUCCAAGUUUCGACCCCGGGGCUCAACAUAUAAAUAGAGGGGUAGGGCUAGCACCAAAGACACAACAAUUGAUCCCUUGGAUCUCUUAGCCGUGUGUGGUGCCCCCCUCCACCAUAGUCCACCUCGAUAAUAUCGUAGUGGUGCUUAGGCGAAGCCCUGCGAUGGUAGAACAUCAAGAUCGUCACCACGCCGUCGUGCUGACAGAACUCUCCCUCGACACUCGGCUGGACCGGAGUUUGAGGGACGUCAUCGAGCUGAACGUGCGCUAGAACUCGGAGGUGCCGUAGUUUCGGUGCUUGAUCGGUCGGGCCGUGAAGACGUACGACUACAUCAACCGCGUUGUGCUAACGCUUCCGCUUACGGUCUACAAGGGUAAUGUAGACAACACUUUCCCCUCUCGUUGAUAUGCAUCACCAUGAUCUUGCGUGUGCGUAGGAUUUUUUUUAAAUUACUACGUUCCCUAACAGUGGCAUCCGAGCCUGGUUUUAUGCGUAGAUGUCAUAUGCACGAGUAGAACACAAGUGAGAUGUGGGUGAUAUAAGUCAUACUGCUUACCAGCAUGCCAUACUUUGGUUCAGCUUGUGAGAUGAAGCGGCCCGGACCGACAUUACGCGUACGCUUACGCGAGACUGGUUUCACCGCCACGAGCACUAGUUGCUUAAAGGUGACCGGCGGAUGUCUGUCUCUCUCACUUUAGUUGAACCGAGUGUGGCUACGCCCGGUCCUUGCGAAGGUUAAAACAGCACCAACUUGACAAACUAUCAUUGUGGUUUUGAUGCGUAGGUAAGAACAGUUUUUGCUCAGCCCGUAGCAGCCACGUAAAAUUUGCAACAACAAAGUAGAGGAUAUCUAACUUGUUUUUGCAGGGCAUGUUGUGAUGUGAUAUGGUCAAGACAUGAUGCUAAAUUUUAUUGUAUAAGAUGAUCAUGUUUUGUAACCGAGUUAUCGGCAACUGGCAGGAGCCAUAUGGUUGUCGCUUUAUUGUAUGCAAUGCAAUCGCCCUGUAAUGCUUUACUUUAUCACUAAGCGGUAGCGAUAGUCGUAGAAGCAUAAGAUUGGCGAGACGACAACGAUGCUACGAUGGAGAUCAAGGUGUCGCUCCGGUGACAAUGGUGAUCAUGACGGUGCUUCGAAGAUGGAGAUCACAAGCACAAGAUGAUGAUGGCCAUAUCAUAUCACUUAUAUUGAUUGCAUGUGAUGUUUAUGUUUUAUGCAUCUUAUCUUACUUUGAUUGACGGUAGCCUUAUAAGAUGAUCCCUCACUAAAUUAUCAUAGUAAAAGUGUUCUCCCUGAGUAUGCACCGUUGCGAAAGUUCUUCGUGCUGAGACACCACGUGAUGAUCGGGUGUGAUAGGCUCUACGUUCAAAUACAACGGGUGCAAAACAGUUGCACACGCGGAAUACUCAGGUUAAACUUGAUGAGCCUAGCAUAUAACAGAUAUGGCCUCGGAACACGGAGACCGAAAGGUCGAGCGUGAAUCAUAUAGAAGAUAUGAUCAACAUAUUGAUGUUCACCGUUGAAACUACUCCAGCUCACGUGAUGAUCGGACAUGGGGUAGUUGAUAUGGAUCACAUAAUCACUUAGAGGAUUAGAGGGAUGUCUAUCUAAGUGGGAGUUCUUAAGUAAUAUGGUUAAUUGAACUUAAAUUUAUCAUGAACUUAGUCCUGGUAGUAUUUUGCAAAUUAUGUUGUAGAUCAAUAGCUCGCGUUGUUGCUUUCAUAUGUUUAUUUUGAUAUGUUCCUACAGAAAACUGUGUUGAAAAAUGUUAGUAGCAAUGAUGCGGAUUGGAUCCGUGAUCUGAGGAUUGUCCUCAUUGUUGCACAGAAGAAUUAUGUCCUUGAUGCACCGGUAGGUGACGGACCUAUUGCAGGAGCAGAUGCAGACGUUAUGAAUGUUUGGCUAGCUCAAAAUGAUGACUACUUGAUAGUUUAGUGCACCAUGCUUAACGGCUUAGAAUCGGGACUUCAAAGACGUUUUGAAUGUCAUGGACCAUAUGAGAUGUUCCAGGAGUUGAAAUUAAUAUUUCAAGCAAAUACCCGAGUUGAGAGAAUAUGAAAUCUUCAACAAGUUCUAUAGAUAAAAGAUGGAGGAGAAUUGCUCAACUAGUGAGCAAGUGCUAAGAUUGUCUGAGUACUAACAAUCGCUUGAAUCAAGUGGGAGUUAAUCUUCCAGAUAAUAUAGUGAUUGGCAGAGUUCUCUAGUCACCAUCACCAAGUUACUGGAACUUCGUGAUGAACUAUAGUAUGCAAGGGAUGACGUAAACGAUUCCCGAGCUCUUCAUGAUAUUGAAAUCGACGAAGGUAGAAAUCAAGAAAAGAGCAUCAAGUGUUGAUGAUUGAUAAGAUCACUAGUUUCAAGAAAAGGGCAAAGGGAAAGAAAGGGAACUUCAAGCAGAAUGGCAAGCAAGUUGUCACUCCCGUGAAGGAGCCCAAAGUUGGACCAAAGCCUGAAACUGAGUGCUUCUACUGCAAAAGAAAUGGUCACUAGAAACAGAAAUACCCUGAAUAUUUGGUGGAUAAGAAGGAUGGCACAGUGAACAAGGGUAUAUUUGAUAUACAGGUUAUUGAUGUGUACCUUACUAGUGUUUAGAGUAGCCCCUGAGUAUUUGAUACUUGUUCGGUUGCCAAAAAAUUAGUGACUCGAAACAGGAGUUACAGAAUAAACAGAGACUAGUUGAGGGUGAAGUGACGAUGUGUAUUGGAAGUGGUUCCAAGAUUGAUAUGAUCAUCAUCGCACACUCCCUAUACUUUCGGGAUUAGUGUUAAACCUAAAUAAAUGUUAUUUGGCGUUUGCGUUGAGCAUAAAUAUGAUUUCAUCAUGUUUAUUGCAAUACAGUUAUUCAUUUAAAGUCAGAGAAUAAUUAUUGUUCUGUUUACAUGAAUAAAACCUUUGAUGGUCAUGCACCCAAUGAAAAUAGUUUAUUGGAUCUCGAUCGUAGUGAUACACAUAAUCAUAAUAUUGAUGCCAAAAGAUGCAAAGUUGAUAAUGAUAGUGCAACUUAUUUGUGGCACUGCCAUUUGGGUCAUAUCGGUGUAAAGCGCGUGAAGAAACUCCAUGCUGAUGGGUUUUUGGAAUCACUUAAUUAUGAAUCAUUUGAUGCUUGCGAACCGUGCCUUUUGGGCAAGAUGACUGAAACUCCGUUCUCUGGAACAAUGGAACGAGCUACUGACUUAUUGAAAAUAAUACAUACCGAUGUAUGCGAUCCAAUAAGUGUUGAUGCUCGUGGCAAGUAUCGUUAUUUUCUAACCUUCACAGAUGAUUUGAGCAGAUAUGGGUAUAUCUACUUAAUGAAACACAAGUCUGAAACAUUUGAAAUGUUCAAAGAAAUUCAGAGUGAAGUGAAGAAUCAUCGUAACAAGAAAAUAAAGUUUCUACGAUCUGAUCGUGGAUAAGAAUAUUAGUUACGAGUUUGGCCUUCAUAUAAAACAAUGUGGAAUAGUUUCACAGUUCACACCACCUGUGAAAGGACAUGCGGUGCCCCCAUGUGUGGUUUUGGUAAUUGAUGACAUUUUUUAUGGACUAAUGGUUGCAUUGAGUUAUAUUUGAAGGAUUUGUCCAUAGGCAUUUCUUGAAGCCCAUGUGUUGGUUUCAAGGAGUUUAUGAGUUGACCAAGGUGCUAGUAAGGAAUUAUCCAAAGAUUGGUCACGUGAGUGUUGAGCUUAUUGCAAGCAUGUCUUGAAGAAUAAGAUUGUGUGAUCAUUCAUGUCCACCUUCAAGACAUCAUCCAAAUGAAGAGAGUUGGAAAGAUUCAACACACAAAGCGCACAAGAUGUACCGAGGGAUCAAGUGAUCCCAUGGUAUGGUAAGCAUUGUCCAUUAUGCUUUGUGUGCUAACCCAUGGUCUUCGUGAGAGUUCUUUGUGAGGUUAGGUUACGGUGUGCAAGUUCAAGUGAUGUAUCACAAAGAGAUCAAGUGCUUGAAGCUUGCCGUCCAUUGUGGUGACAAUGGACUUGUGAAGAUGAGCAGAAGAGUGGCUCACCCAUAGUGGAGUAUGGGGGAGCAAUCAACUAGUCUUCAUCGAGCCAACACAAUCAAGAAAGGUGGUCCAUCUUGAGGAGGAGUAGAUCGUCAUCAUCUAGCUCAAGUGGACCCUGUGCAAGGCAAAGGUUUGCCCUUGAUAGGUUUUCUAUUUUACCGGUCUCAUGGUAGUUGUGGGAGACCGGGUUAUAGGAUCGACUGCCGUACUAUCAAGGGGGGCUCUCGAUGAGUUGCUUGAUCGUUUCGUUCGUAGAGAGCUCAAACCAUUGCAUCCUUGCAUCAUCUUUAUUGGUUCUUGUUUGGUUCUUCUCCUUGCGAGAUUUGGAGCUUUUGGUCAUUUUCAUGACAAGCUCGAGUUCAUCGAAAACGGAGUUCACAUGCAUCUUCUAUGAUGUUUUCGAUGUUGGAGGUUCUGCCGGUUCUUCUCUGUUUUGAUGCUACUCGUUGUCUUGUAUCCAACAAGCUUGAGUUUGCUCAAUUCAGAGCUCAUUUGCAGAAGUUAUGGCAGUUCUGGUUUUAUUGUUACCCUCUGUUGUCUUCUCUGCAAAAUGAAGGACUCCUAGUGUUGCUGAUCUGGGGCAUGCGGUAGUACUGCUCUCCGGAGCGGUAGUACCGCAGGCCCUUGCGGUAGUACCGCUCUGUGGGAGCGGUAGUACCCUCCGGCCAGGCGCAGCUGCUCGAGCGGUAGUAGGGGCGGAUGUAAUUUUUUACAUCCGCGCCCUACGCAGUAGUACCGCGCCGCGAGCGCGGUAGUACCGUGGGCUCUGGCCUGGCUUAGCAGCAUGAGCGGAAGUAGGGGCGGAUGUAAUUUUUUACAUCCGCGCCCUACGCGGUAGUACCGCUCCUAGUGUGCGGUAGUACCGUGCCGGAGUUUUGCGCAGGUCCUCCCUCAGCGGAAGUAGGUAUGGAAGUAAUUUUUAACAUCCGUGUUUUCUCUGCGCCUAGUGUUGCCUGCCUUACGGUAGUACCGUAGGGGCGCGCGGUAGUACCGCUCCGACGGUUCUACCGUUCAUUGCCCUGUGCAACAGGCCUUCAUCUGGCCAGAGCUGCACGUGCGGUAGUACCGCAACCUGCAGCGGUAGUACCGCAGCCAACCGCGGUAGUACCGCAGCCAACCGCGGUAGUACCGCAGCUCCCUGUGGUAGUACCGUGUCGUGCGGGCUGAGUGAGGGGAUAACGGUUGGUUUUUCUCACCACCUAUAAAAGGGGGUCUUCUUCCCCAUUGAGUCUUAUCCUUUGAGCUCGUGUUCUUCCCCCAUUGUUGACCUUCUUCGAGCUUGCUAACUCUCAAUCCAUCCAUGGAUUCUUGCUAGUUUUUGAGGGAAAAGAGAGAGGAGAUCUAGAUCCACAUUUCCACCAAUCACUUUCUCCUCUAUGUGAGGGGAACCCCUUGGAUCUAGUUCUUGGAGUUCUUGGUGUUCUCCUUCUUGUUCUUCCUCUCAUUUUCCUCCCUAGCAUUAGUUGCUUCGGUGGGAUUUGAGAGAGAAGGACUUGGGCACUCCGUGUGCCCUUGCCAUUGCAUUUGGUGCAUCGGUUUGAGUUCUCCACGGUGAUACGUGGAAGUUACAAGUUGAGAAGCUUAUUACUCUUGGGUGCUUGGUGCCCUUGAGCUUGUUCCUCUUGGGUGCUUGGGCGUACUAGACGGUUGGUGGUGUUCAGAGCUCAAUCAUUGUGGUGUAAAGCUCCGGGCAAGCGUCGGGGUCUCCAAUUAGGUUGUGGAGAUCGCCCCGAGCAAUUUGACGGGUUCCGGUGACCGCCCCCAAGGGUUGCCAAAGUGUACGGGUUCGGUGACCGCCCCCAAGGGUUGCCAUUUGUACGGGUUCGGUGACCGCCCUCAAGGGUCCCUUAGUGGAUUCACGGCAUCUUGCAUUGUGCGAGGGCGUGAGGAGAUUACGGUGGCCCUAGUGGCUUCUUGGGGAGCAUUGUGCCUCCACACCGCUCCAAACGGAGAUUAGCAUCCGCAAGGGUGUGAACUUCGGGAUACAUCGUCGUCUCCGCGUGCCUUGGUUAUCUCUUACCCGAGCCCUUUACUUAUGCACUUUACUUUGUGAUAGUCAUAUUGUUCUUGUCAUAUAUCUUGCUAUCACAUAGUUGCUUAUCUUGCUUAGCAUAAGUUGUUGGUGCACAUAGGUGAGCCUAGUCAUUGUAGGUUUUGUGCUUGACAAAUUAACCAUUAGGUUUAUUCCGCAUUUGUUCAAGCCUAAAUCGUAAAUAUUUUAAAACGCCUAUUCAACCCCCCUCUAGGCGACAUCCUCGAUCUUUCAACCUGGAACACUAUAGCGUUAUGGUGUGUCCGAACAUCGUAACCGCACUUUAUUGAAUAUUGUGCAAUUUAUGAUCUCUCUUAUCGGUUUACCACUAUCGUUUUGGGGUUAUGCAUUAGAGACAACUGCAUCCACGUUAAAUAGGGCAACAUCAAAAUCCGUUGAGGCGACGCCUUAUGAACUAUGGUUUGGCAAGAAACCAAAGUUGUCGUUUCUUAAAGUUUGGGACUGCGAUGCUUAUGUGGAAAAUCUUCGACCUGAUAAGCUCGAACCCAAAUCGGAGAAGUGCGUCUUCAUAGAAUACCCAAAGGAAACUAUUGAGUACACCUUCUAUCACAGAUCCGAAAGCAAGAUAUUUGUUGCUAAGAUGGAUCCUUUCUAGAGAAGGAGUUUCUCUCGAAAGAAGUGAGUGGGAGAAAGUAGAACUUGAUAAGGUAAAAGUACCUUCUCCUGAAUUGGAAAAUAGUUCAUCACUCAAAUCAGUUCCAGUGAUUCCUACACCAAUUAGUGAGGAAGCUAAUGAUGAUGAUCAUGAAACUUCAGAACAAGUUACUACAGAACCUCGUAGGUCUUCCAGAGUAAGAUCCGCACCAGAAUGGUAUGGUAAUCAUGUUCUAGAAGUCAUGUUACUAGACCAUGAUGAAACUACGAACUAUGAGGAAGCGAUGAUGAGCCCAGAUUCCACGAAAUGGCUUGAGGCCAUAAAAUCUGAGAUAUGAUCCAUGUAUGAGAACAAAGUAUGAAAUUUGAUUGACUUGCUUGAUGAUCAGCAAGCCAUCUAAAAUAAAUGGAUCUUCAAGAGGAAGACAGACACUGAUAGUAGUGUUACUAUCUACAAAGCUCGACUUGUCGCAAAAGGUUUUUCGACAAGAUCAAGGUGUUGAAUACAAUGAGAUUUUCUCACUCGUAUCGAUGCUUAAAGUCUGUCCAAAUCUUGUUAGCAAUUGCCACAUUUUAUGAAAUCUGGCAAAUGGAUGUCAAAACUGCAUUCCUUAAUGGAUUUUUUAAAGAAGAGUUGUAUAUGAUGCAACCAGAAGGUUUUGUUAAUCCUAAAGGUGCUAACAAUGUGCAAGCUCCACCGAUCCAUCAAUGGACUGGUGCAAGCAUCUCGGAGUUGGAAUAUACGCUUUGAUGAGUUGAUCAAAGCAUAUGUUUUAUACAGACUUUUGGAGAAGCCUGUAUUUAUAAGAAAGUGAGUGGGAGCUCUACAACAUCUUUGAUAAGUAUAUGUGAAUGACAUAUUGUUGAUCGGAAAUAAUGUAGAAUUAUUCUGCAAAGCAUAAAGGAGUGUUUGAAAGGAGUUUUUCAAAGAAAGACCUCGGUGAAGCUGCUUACACAUUGAGCAUCAAGAUCUAUAGAGAUAGAUCAAGACGCUUGAUAAGAUUUUUCAAUGAGUACAUACCUUGACAAGAUUUUGAAGUAGUUCAAAAUGAAACAGUCAAAGAAAGAGUUCUUCCCUGUGUUGCAAGGUGUGAAGUUGAGUAAGACUCAAAACCCGACCAUGGCAGAAGAUAGAAAGAGAAUGAAAAGUCAUUCCCUAUGCCUCGGCCAUAGGUUAUAUAAAGUAUGCCAUGCUGUGUACCAGAUCUAUUGUAUACCCUACAUUGUUUUUGGCAAAGGAAUACAAUUUUGAUCUAGGAGUAGAUCACAGGACAACGGUCAAAAUUAUCCUUAGUGGAAUAAGGAUAUGUUUCUCGAUUAUGGAAGUGACAAAAGCUUCGUCGUAAAGGGUUACGUUGAUGCAAGUUUUGACACUAAUCUAGAUGACUCUAAAUCUCGGUCUAGAUACAUAUUGAAAGUGGGAGCAAUUAGCUAGAGUAGCUCCGUGCAGAGCACUGUAGACAUAGAAUAUUUGCAAAGUACAUACGGCUCUGAAUGUGACAGACCCGUUGACUAAACUUCUCUCAUGAGAAAAACAUGAUCAUACCUUAGUACUCUUUGGGUGUUAAUCACAUAGCGAUGUGAACUAGAUUAUUGACUCUAGUAAACCCUUUGGUUGUUGAUCACAUGACGAUGUGAACUAUGGGUAUUAAUCACAUACAAAUGUGAAUAUUCGUGUUAAAUCACAUGGUGAUGUGAACUAGAUUAUUGACUCUAGUGCAAGUGGGAGACUAAAGGAAAUAUGCCCUAGAGGCAAUAAUAAAGUUAUUAUUUAUUUCCUUAUAUCAUGAUAAAUGUUUAUUAUUCAUGCUAGAAUUGUAUUACCGGAAACAUAAUACAUGUGUGAAUACAUAGACAAACAGAUUGUCACUAGUAUGCCUCUACUUGACUAGCUCGUUGAUCAAAGAUGGUUAUGUUUCCUAGCCAUAGACAUGAGUUGUCAUUUGAUUAACGGGAUCACAUCAUUAGAACAAUGAUGUGAUUGACUUGACCCAUUAUGUUAGCUUAGCACACGAUCGUUUAGUAUUCUGCUAUUGCUUUCUUCAUGACUUAUACAUGUUCCUAUGACUAUGAGAUUAUGCAACUCCCGUUUACCGGGGGAACACUUUGUGUGCUACCAAACGUCACAAGUAACUGGGUGAUUAUAAAUGUGCUCUACAGGUGUCUCCGAAGGUACUUGUUGGGUUGGCGUAUUUCGAGAUUAGGAUUUGUCACUCCGAUCGUCGGAGAGGUAUCUCUGGGCCCACUCAGUAAUGCACAUCAUUAUAAGCCUUGCAAGCAUUGUAACUAAUGAGUUAGUUGCGGGAUGAUGUAUUACGGAACGAGUAAAGAGACUUGCCUGUAACAAGAUUGAACUAGGUAUUGAGAUACCGACGAUCGAAUCUCGGGCAUGUAACAUACCGAUGACAAAGGGAACAACGUAUGUUGUUAUGCGGUUUGACCGAUAAAGAUAUUCGUAGAAUAUGUGGGAGCCAAUAUGAGCAUCCAGGUUCCGCUAUUGGUUAUUGACCGGAAACGUGUUUCGGUCAUGUCUACAUUGUUCUCGAACCCGUAGGGUCCGCACGCUUAAGGUUUCGAUGACAGUUAUAUUAUGAGUUUAUGUGUUUUGAUGUACCGAAGGAGUUCAGAGUCCCGGAUGAGUUCGGGGACAUGACGAGGAGUCUCGAAAUGAUCGAGACGUAAAGAUUCAUAUAUUGGAUGAUAUGGUUAGGCCAAGGGGUCAAGCCCAUGAGGCUUUAGGUCGGUGCAAAAGGAGUUUUGCGGAGGCCAGGGGGCCAAACGCCGGAGACCCUGGCGUCUGGCCCUGGGCCAGACGCCGAGGCCCAUGGCGUCUGGGACAGACGCCAAGGAUUGUGGCGUUUGUUCCUAGAGUCCAAGUGGGACUCUUGCCUUUCGGGCAAAACCGACUUUGAGGAGGCUUUUGCUCCAAGUUUUGACCCCGGGGCUCAACAUAUAAAUAGAGGGGCAGGGCUAGCAUCAAAGACACAACAAUUGAUCCCUUGGAUCACUUAGCCGUGUGCGGUGCCCCCCUCCACCAUAGUCCACCUCGAUAAUAUCGUAGUGGUGCUUAGGCGAAGCCCUGCGAUGGUAGAACAUCAAGAUCGUCACCACGCCAUCGUGCUGACGGAACUCUCCCUCGACACUUGGCUGGAUCGGAGUUUGAGGGACGUCAUCGAGCUGAACGUGUGCUAGAACUCGGAGGUGCCAUAGUUUCGGUGCUUGAUCGGUCGGGCCGUGAAGACGUAUGACUACAUCAACCGCGUUGUGCUAACGCUUCCGCUUACGGUCUACAAGGGUAUGUAGACAACACUCUCCCUUCUCGUUGCUAUGCAUCACCAUGAUCUUGUGUGUGCGUAGGAAUUUUUUUUUAAAUUACUACGUUCCCCAAUAGACACCGCCUCCCCGGCAAUGGCACGCCGCCCUUCGACUGCACCUACCAGAGGAAAACGGUCUCGAAAGCCGACGAUGGUGGUGUCAGCGCUCGCCGAGGCAGGCGCGAAGAAGAAGAGAUGAAGAAGACCAAGGCGGUGCCUCGUCCUAGGCCGACACCUCAAGCUGCUACUGCGGCGGACCCUCCGGCGAUUGCUCCGGCGCGAGCGGUGGUCGGAGCCGACAACAAGAAACACGGCCGCCAAGUGCUCGAUAAAAUGCCAACAAGGUAAAAAUAAAAACAUCGCGUUUUGUUGGUAUCCGAUAGUGAUUGUCCUUCUGAUGUCGGCAAUCCGAUUCGCCAAUGGAUGUGCAUAUGCUUGUUUCUCACAGUGACAGCCAAGUUGGAGCUGGGUGCGUUGCGCAACGAUGACUCCAUGAGGGUGGUUCAGCGGAUGGCGCUCUCUAAAGGUUGCGCUGGACUAGGUCACUGCGAGGCUUGCAAUUUUCUCAUGUGAAGCGCUUCAACAAAAUCGGAGCUGCCUGUCCUUGACAUCGGCAGCCGAUUGUUUGGCUUUGGACUUUGAGGUUCUCGUGUGUCAUUUGUUUGGCGAGGUCUUGACGGGUCGUCCAUGGUAAAGUCGGAAUAGCAUGCUCGGGGAGAGGUGACGACAAUGACAUUGCGGGUAACCUCGACGGUGUGUAGGGUCUUGCGGGUGUCAGUUCGGCCGCGUGCCCUUUUGUGGGUGUGUUGUAACGGUUUCUGCCUGGGUUUUCACUAAUUAAUGGGGUAACUCCCUUCUAUUUUUUUAAUGAAUAAGGCCCCAAGUGACCAUGUUUCAAAAACAAUAUGCCCUAAAAAGUUGGUUGAACGAUGCCGGCCCUAGACAUUGAUUACGAUGCAGGCCUUGUAGAAAAUGUGUUAGAGGUUCAGACUUGGGAGUAAUAUUAAUCAAACAAACAUGCUAACUCCAUCUGGCACCAUCUGCACUAGAGGUUCAGACUUGGGAGUAAUAUAGUGCUCUACUUCCAAUUAUAUAUGCACAUGGACGGACACCAAUCUGCGCGCAGACGACUCCAUCUGGCACCAUCUGCACUGCACUGGUCUUCUUCCUGGGACGGCCGACGGACUCCAUCUCCAUGCACCUGCUAUAUAAUUAAGAAAACUCCAUGGAGUUAUUUCACACGCACAAACCAAGAACCUACUACCGCCAUGCCAACAGCCAUGGACACCUCUCCUCACCUAAAGCUCAUCUGUCUCGCUCUCCUGCUAGCUUCGAUUCCCUACGCCAUGGCAGCGCUACCUCCUUCCCUCCUAGAAGAACAGGCCAGAGCCCUCCUAGCCUGGAAAGCCACCAUACAGAACCCCCCAGCCCAGCUCCAAUCCUGGGGAAACACCACAACACGGCCAUGCGGCUGGUACGGCAUCUGGUGUGGCGAGCAUCAAGCAAGCAUCACCGAGAUCUCUCUCGGGGGGCUGCGGCUGAGAGCGAUGCUGGAGGCCCUUAACUUCACGGCGUUGCAUACUCUCACGAGUAUCCGACUACCCUACAAUCAGAUAAGGGGCUCAUUUCCACCCGUUUUAGCAUCAUCCUUGCCAAACCUGCGGCACCUGCUGCUCCAGGGAAAUGAACUCUCGGGUGAAAUACCGAGGCAAAUAAAACAAUUAGAGAGUCUCGUUGGGUUGGAUUUGUCAGACAACCACUUGUCCGGUCCUAUACCCGCUGAACUAGGUCACCUGAAGAAGCUGACCAGGUUAGAUUUUUCCACCAACAACCUAACAGGUCCUGUUCCAAGAAGUCUAUGGAAUUGCACUAAGCUCACUAUCUUGUACCUUACUCACAAUCUGUUAUCCGGAAAUGUUCCCCGAGAAGUAGGUUACUUGGUGAAUCUGGAACACUUGCACCUUAGUCAAAACAAACUCAUGGGUUUCAUCCCUUAUACCUUUGGAAAUUUGACCAAGCUCACUACCUUGUGCCUAUGAGAUAACCAACUCUCCGGAGAUGUUCCUCGAGAAUUAGGUUCCCUGGUGAACCUAAAGAACUUGAAACUUGGCAAAAACCAACUCAUGGGUUCCAUCCCCAAUGCCUUUCGAAAUUUGACCAAGCUCACUACCUUGUACCUAUGGGGUAACCAACUUUCUCGGCGUAUUCCUCGAGAACUAGGUUACCUGGUGAAUCUGAAAGACUUGCAACUUGGUGAAAACAAACUCAUGGGUUCCAUCCCUGAUACCUUUGGAAAUUUGACCAAGCUCACUACCUUGUACCUAUGGGGUAACCAACUUUCUCAGCGUAUUCCUCGAGAACUAGGUUACCUGGUGAAUCUGAAAGACUUGCAACUUGGUGAAAACAAACUCAUGGGUUCCAUCCCUGAUAUCUUUGGAAAUUUGACCAAGCUCACUACCUUAGACCUUUGUUUUAACCAACUCUCCGGAGAUGUUCCUCGAGAACUAGGUUCCCUCGCGAGUCUAGAAUACUUGGGACUUUACAACAACACAUUCAUGGGUCCCAUCCCCAAUACCUUUGGAAAUUUGACCAAGCUCACUACCCUGAAACUAUUUGACAAUCAACUCUCUGGACAUGUUCCACGAGAAAUUGGCACCUUGAUGGAUCUCGAAGAUCUACAAUUUGAUCGUAACAAUCUCUCUGGUCCCUUGCCACCUGACUUGUGCGUUGGUGGCAUGCUCAAGAUAUUAACUGCAUCUGACAACAAUCUCAAUGGACCUCUACCAUCAAGUUUGGUAAACUGCAGAAGCCUAGUCAGACUUCGUCUUGAAAGGAAUCAAAUAGAAGGAGAUAUUUCUAAGAUGGGUGUUUAUCCAAAUUUGGUGUAUAUGGAUAUGAACUCAAAUAAACUAUUUGGUCAAUUAUCCUAUCAGUGGGGAGGAUGUCAUAAUCUUACAAUGCUACGCUUCUCAAAAAACAACCUUACAGGGGGGAUACCCGCAAGUAUGGGGAACCUAUCUCAGCUAGGGAUACUUGAUCUUUCUUCAAACAAGCUUGAAGGAGAGAUUCCGGGUGCACUAGGCAAUUUACAGAAAAUGUUUAACCUCAACCUCGCAGAAAAUUUGCUCCAUGGAAGCAUUCCAGAAGAAAUUGGAUUGCUAUCCAAUCUAGAGUUUUUGGAUUUGUCAUCAAAUAACCUAAAUGGUUUGGUACAAGAUUCAAUCGAGCAUUGUUUGAACCUUCGCUUUUUGAAGCUGAAUGGCAAUAACUUUAAAGAAAACAUCCCCGCCAAGCUAGGGUUAUUGCGCAACUUACAUGACCAAUUGGAUAUAAGUGACAAUUCAUUUACUGGGGCAAUACCAAGCCAACUUAGUGGUCUAAUCAUGCUAGCUAAUCUAAAUCUUUCACACAAUGAACUUAAUGGCUCCAUCCCAUCAUCAUUUCAAAGUAUGGAAAGCUUGAUAUCCAUUGAUGUAUCUUACAACAAAUUGGAAGGGCAGGUCCCGGACAGUAAGGUCUUCCGACAAGCUCCAAUCCAGCAGUUCAUGCAUAAUAAGAAGCUAUGUGGUGUUGUGAAAGGAUUGCCCCCUUGUAGUAGUGCAACUCAAAGCAGAGGCAAGAGGAAAGGAUACAAAAUACAUGUACUAACCACUAUUCCUGCUCUGCUAUUUCUUGUUCUUAUUGCGGUGAUAUUGAUGUUCUGGCAUAAAAGAAGGAAAACCAAGGCAACUAACACCGAUAAAGUAAUACAAGCAAACGUCUUUUCUAUUUGGAGUUUUGAUGGAAAAAUUGUCUUCAAGGAAAUCGUUGAAGCAACCAACGAUUUUAGUGAGAUGCAUUGCAUUGGUAUCGGGGGACAUGGAUCAGUCUACAAAGCUAGACUUGCAACAUGCGAAAUAUUUGCAGUGAAGAAGAUACACAUGAUAGAAGAUGAUUGUCGCGUGAACGAACUUGUGUUCAUUCGUGAAAUCGAGGCAUUGGUGCAGAUUCGUCACCGAAACGUCGUAAAACUUUUUGGGUAUUGUUCCUCUAGCCAAGGCAGCUUCCUUAUCUAUGAAUAUAUGGAGAGAGGAGACUUGGCAAAAACACUAAAGGACAAUGAAAGGGCAAUUGAAUUGGAUUGGAGAAGGCGGAUUUGUAUUGUGUUGGGUGUGGUUCAUGCUUUGGCCUACAUGCAUCAUGAUUGUUCGUCACCAAUAGUCCAUAGAGACAUAACAAGCAACAACAUUUUGCUUGAUCAAGAAUUUAGAGCUUGCAUCUCUGACUUCGGUACGGCUAAAGUUCUCAAUAUUUACGGCGAGAAUUUCACAAGGCUUGCUGGGACGAAAGGCUAUCUUGCCCCAGGUAAACAAAAAUAUAAGCUCGGUUACUAGUUUUAGCAGUGUACGUAGAUGAUGUAAUCUAAUAACUAUGAUGGAAUUCGAGCUGUUUUAAUUGCAACAUAUACACUAAUUAUUUUGUAUUAAUUGCAGAGCUAGCAUAUACAGAAAAUGUGACGGAGAAAUGUGACGUAUACAGCUUCGGAGUGCUUGUUUUGGAGCUAUUUAUGGGAUCUCAUCCAGGCGAUUUCCUCUCAUCCCUGUCAUUGGCCACCAAGAACAAUGUCGUGUGCCUGCUAGAUCUACUGGACCCCAGGCUUAUGAUUCCAGAUGCUGAGACUGCUAGAGAAAUAUACCGCAUUCUCAGUGUUGCAGUUCAGUGCCUAGAGCCGAAUCCAUCACAUAGGCCAACGGCACGACGCGCGAGCGACGAGCUAUCUACGAUUAAAGGUGGUGAAGGUCAGGUUGAUUUUUUGCAGGCUGGCAUCACCUUUCCUGCGCUGUAGUGCCUAUGGCUAUGAGGAUGAAAUAGUAUCAUGUGGUUUCGUCUCUACUACCUACCUAGCUACUUGGUGAAAAA
rnacentral:lncRNA from 1 species